UUUUUUUUUUUUUUUGUAGGGAAUCGUUGGGACUUUGAUGGUUAAAGUUGAGGAGUUGAGGAUUAUGACACUAUAGGACCAUAUCCGCUAUCACCACCACCACAAUAGACUUGUAUUAGGAUUUUAUUAUUGUAAUUUGUUAAUUUAUAUGUACAUAUUUAAUAAAAUGUAUAUUGUGGAUAAUUUGAUCACUAUUUUUCGUAUUUAUUUUAUUUUGAAUAUGUCAAUUUAAAUUAAAGUAACAAAAAAAAAUAAAGCCAUACAAUUAAAUUAAAUUAAAAAUUAAAAAAAUCUUGCACUAACAAAAGGUCAAUUUAAUUAAAUAAAAAAUAAAAACAAAAAACUUUUGUGGCUCAAAAUCUUGCGCUACCAAAUAUUUUGUUGCGCAAAAUAUUAAAUUAAUUUAAUUAAAUUAAAAAAUCAAAAAUAACAAAUUUUGCGUGACAAACCAUGCUUUCGUCGCGCAAAGUUUUGAGUGAUGAAAUCUUACUUCGCGCAACAAAUCUUAUUUUGUUGCACAAAGUGUUUUUUGUAACUGUGGGUACAGCUUCAAGUUGGCUGCAAAAGCAUAGAAAUCGCCUUUUGGAUCGAUGGAAUCUUUUAUUGAAAAGGGAAAGAGUGGAAAAUGGAACUGUAGUUUUAAAUUGGCGAUUUACGGGAAGGAUAUUUUUAUGGAAUGAACUAUGUGGAAGAUAUAUGCAUGGAAGGUUCUAAUUGAGUGAAUGAUACAUGGUCUCAGCAAACUUUUCACUUUGGACUGCUCUCUUUUGUGCAUCUGUUGUGUGGAUUUAUUUGCUUUGAAGGUACUCAAAGUAGAAUAAAAAUUGGAACAAUCACUGAACAAAUUUAAUCGGCUAGGAAUGAGCUAACAAUAUAUAUAUCAAACACGCGUAAGCAUGCGCGUCACAUAUAACUCCAUCCUGCAAUUAUAGGAGGGGAGAAAUCAGGAGUCGCAGAGAAUAACCAAUGCGAGCAUAUGUGAGCACCACCAAUCAGCAAUGCCGACCAUUUUGGGUGCACCAAGGAAUUGUUAUCAAGUCGUUGGAAGAUCAAGAUAUUCAAGAUCACGUAAUAGCUAGCUAGAUAGGGUUGUGUAGAGUAUAACGACGUGGCUGGGUUUGAAGCAGCAAAUAAUUAACAUGGUAUUUUCGUUCUUGUACGGUGAUUCUUGAUGUCAGAAGAAUCAUAAGGAACAGACCAAGAUAUUGUGGGCGCAAGGAUUCGAUUGUGUCCUCACACUCAUUUUCCUCGUCAACUUGUCGUUCUUCUCAAAGUGCAUAUUGCAAGUCUUGGCUCCACGUUGGUUUUGCCUGCAGUAGAAUAAAUUUUAACAGCUGUGAGUUUAUGCCAAAGCCGACCCACAAGCAAGCCGAACAAGACAUGUGCUUUGGGCAUGACAAGGAACUAAGUUUCGUAUUUUCUUUUCAUACCCGUAUUUUACGAGACUGGCUAUAAUGCUUACUUGUAUAUGAUACAAUCAAAUAUUUGACAGUGAGAUAUAAGUCAUGUGAUAUUUAUAUAAUACAAUCAUCAUCUAACCGUCAAAAUAAUGAUUGUAUUGAGUACAUGUAAGUAUUGUAGUUAAAUUCCAACAUUCUUUGUUUAGUUAAUUCAAACUGUUUAAUCUGACCAUCGAGAUGACUUUCUCACCUCCACAAAUAAAUUGUAAUGAUUUUUUUUUUUUAUCUAAGAUAGAAAUUGUUGUUUGCUACACAUCUAUCAGAGGUGGGCGUACCCUACUAACCCGAGAGCUUGAGGCAUGCAUAAUGUGAACUUGGCAUGAGGUGGUGAUAUGAAUUAUUCUUCCACUUGACUUAAUUCUUCAUACAACCAAUCACUUUUAAUGCCUUCUUAGUUAUAAGACCACGCUACAAGACUCGGCGACAAAUUAGUUAAUAUUAUGUUCUUUAAAUAAUUAUUAUCUCAUGGGACAAAGAAUCAAUAGGGAAACAUCAUUUACAUGAUUAUGUCUUAAGAAAGCUAGGUAGGCAAGCAUUGGUCGAAUUAGAAUGUGGAUUAUUGAUGCAAAUUUCCGCCAUCUUCAGUCUUGACGAAAAUGCACCUGCAAAACAAUUAACAUCUUUAAUCAAGGACCUAAGCCUCACACACCCACGAGGUGGGGGGGGGGGGUUAGGCCAAUGGAUCUCUGAUGCCUAAGUUAGUUUCUCUAUGAGAAUAAAGUGUUUAGGGCCUUUUAAGGGUAGCAAAAGCUUCUGAAAUUUGGUAGAAUAUAGGGUAUUUAUAGGGAUAGAGCCAGCCAUAGUCUUAGGGUUUAUGGAGAAAUAUUAUCAAGAUAUUAAAUAGGAAAUAAUAUCUUGAGAUAAUUGAGUAAUUAUCCCUAAUUGAUUUAAAUUGAGAUUAUUUACUUGAUUGGAGUCAAUCUUCAAUUAGGAAUGUAUUAAAUAUAGAAUUUGGGUAAUUAAUCCUUAUCUUUAAUGCUUUGACUUUUCCUUGCCAAGGGCAGGUGAGCUGGGGGCAAUCGUAUUCAGUUGCUGGGACCUUCAGGGGUGUGAGCUGUGCAUGGGAGCAUCUAAGAAGUCUGCACAUUUGUUGAAGGCAAUCUUGUCUUUCUUGGGAAAAAGCCCAUGUGUCGCCUCUACAAUUAAUGAGAUUAUUUUAGGCUCCACAAAUGCCCCACACCUACUGGGCGGCACGUAGAAAAAUGGCAGUAGGUGUAGAAAUCCCAAGCUAUGUAGGCUUGUAUAGUUGUUUCCCAAUUUGAAUUUGAUAUUCUUUCUUGAUUUGGAGAUAAACUUCUUCUAGGAAAAGGAAACCAAUUGCCCCCAAUACCUAUUUAAUUCUGCCUUAAGCAGGGGAUUAAAUAAAUUUGGAGAACAAUCAUCAUUCCAACAAGGAAGAGAAGCCAAAGGAAAUUUUUCUUCCCCCUCCCCUAACUUUCUUCUUCUCUUGCCCUUGCAAGGAAUCGUCUCUUGUUGUAGUUCUUCUUUUCCGUGCCGCACCAAGGUAAGAAAAAUUUGAAUUUUCUUCUUCUUGAUUUCUUUGGAGUCUUGGGACUUGAAAAUUGGCUCGGUAAUGGUCGAUGAGGUGUUAAACAUACAACAAGGAUGCCAUAGGGCUGCUGGUGGUGCGGCAAGGGAGUCAGCUGGUGUGGGCCAGGGGUUUGGCUUAACUUGGGCCAAGAAGAGAGGUGAGUUGGGGCGUGGAGAGGCCAACUUGGGCUGAACCUUCAAAGUUGGUGAGGGAGAGAAAGAGACCGGUGCGGGCUGGGUCUUUUGCUGGCGUGUCAGGCUAUGUGGCCUUGGGCCCUUUGUGGUCCUGUGGUCUUUGGGCAAUACUGUGGAACGCUGGGCGCGAGAGAGAGGGAUAACAUGGUCUGGGCCGUAGAACCUGGCUUGCUGUUGGGUUCCUGUAGCUUGAGCCUGUGCGGAGAAAGAGUGUGAGGGCCAUGGGGCAUAGCCAGGGGCGUUGGGCUCGCAGUUCUUUUUAUUUUGUUUUAUUUAUAUAUUUUUUUUGCUUCUUUCGCGAGCUGUCUUCCUCCAAUCGCAAAAGUGAUGAAUAUCCUCCAAUUUUGUAUUGUCAAGGUGGUUUUUCUGGCAAGGUGGGCUAUUUCAAGGCUGCGCAUGUCAAGAUCAAUUUUGAGGAGUUGUUUCGGGAUUAUUUUCUUGAGCCUUACGAGCAUGCAAUUCCGUCAGGGGUUUGCGACAAGCGGGUGAAGGAUGAUAGCGGCCAUAAACCAUGCAGUGAGGGCACCACUACUAGGAAGAAGGCUAUCAAAUUCCAUUCGUAUUACUUCGUGUUGGGAUUCAAUUUUCCCAUGUCGCGUCUUUUCCAAGAGGUGAUAUGCUCCAUGAAAUGCACGCCUGCUCAGUGCUCCCCCAAUGCAAUUCGUGCGAUAGUGGGAUUCCUCAAUCUGAGCAAAUUCUUUAAUCUUGGCUUAGCCAUAAAUGAGUUCUGGUACUUUUUUGAAAUCGACCACAAGGAAGGUGUAGGGCAUCUGAGAUCUCACCAUAAGCCGCUCGAUGCUCCCUGCAAAGGUGAUUAUGAAUGGGCAAGAGACACCUUAGAGGUAAGUGGAGAUUAGAAGUUUGACUCCUCUCCUGAGCUGCGCGUUCCAACUGUCUUUAUUAGUGGUAAGUGAACUGCUUCAUUCUUGUCCUACUUGAAUUUUUGUUAAGCUGCUCCAUGACUUCAAUUUACUGAUCGUCAUUCUUACUUCCAGUAGAUUCAGAAUUUGGCUCAACUCCAAAAACUUUGGCCGAUAUGAAGAAAGUGCACAUCGCCUUGGGCAUUUCUGCUGAAUACCUUGAGUGGCGCUGAUUGCUCAGUCCUCUUCGUUGGGAGAAAGGCGGGCUGCCUCCGAAUGAAGAGAUAAAACGGAUAAAGGAUAAGGCGCUUGCUCAUCUAAUCGCUGUUGUAGAGCCUACUGCUAAUGAGGGUGGAAAGAAGAGAUCUUAUUCACCUGCCAGUAGGCUUUCGAUUGAGAAAAAGCCAAAGACUUCUUCUGCUGCUCGUGAAGGCUCGUUAGCUACUAAAAAGCUUGUGAUUGAUUUGACUUCUCCAAAGGGGACAAAAAAGUCCAUUCAGCCUGAGCCUGUGAAAUCUGCUGUUUCGAAGGUGGCCACGUCCACUGCUGAAAAGAUUGCCUAGCGAAAAGGUUCAGUGGUGCCCCCAAUGUCCGAGUUUGUGUCGAAUAGCCCUUCAGGAGCUAAGUCCCGUUCAGCUUAUGAGAGGCUCACUGCUAUGAAGAACAUGAAGGUGGAUUCUAUUACUAAGGUAGCACUGGGCAUGUUCCUCCUUCUGCUACGACUUACUCGUCUGCUGAGAAAGGGAAAUUUGCUCACAUGGGUAGUUGUGAGAGAUCCACCGAGUCUGAGGCUAGUGAGUUUCCCGAGGUUUAUGUGCUGCUGAAGGUUGACUUGCUUGAGGAUGUCAAUGUAUGCGCCAAGUUCAUUGACAGUGUCGUGAAAGUUGUCAUCCGAUCAAACUCUUUUGCGAAACAUCCUGCCUAUUUGAGGAGGUCCUUCCUGAUUGCCACAAUGCAUAAGACUUUGAUCCUAGCAGUUGAGUCUAUGCACAUUGAUCAAGAUGUUGUCAAGUGUGUUAUGGAAGCCGAAGUGGCAUUAAUGGCUUAGCUUCGCUCAGUUGCUAAAAAGAUUGAGAAGCUCAAAUCAGAACUAGUCAUUUUGAAAGGGUCUAAUGUCUCUACCCUCAUUUCUAUACAACUGGAGACCGCUCAUCAGGAGGUCGCGUAUUUAAAGGCUAAGCUUAGUGCGACUCAGUCAAUGAUGGAAGCUGCAGAGAAGGAAGUCAGUCGUGUUUCUCUAGUGGUCAAGGACCUUGAGCGUGUCAAUUCGGAGCUACAAUCUGCUUAUUUUGCCAAUGACGAGGAGUUUGUCUUCAUGCAUGCUACAGUGUCUCGUCUUAAGAAGCUUGUUUUCAUGCAUGCUGUCUGCUAGCGAAACCUAAGAAAUGAACUAGAUGAGCUACAGGGUGCUCACACUAGGCUUGUUGAGGAAAAUGUAUAGCUGAAGAAUGAGAAAGCUAAUCACAAAGUGGCGCUUGCUUCUUGUCAGGCUGAUUUCUACAAGCUUGGCUAUGUAGACCAUCUUCAGGGUAGGCCAUUAGAUUAUGAGUUUUCCAAGAAGGACUUCGAGACUUUCUCUAUUUCUCUAGUUGAUCUACUUGAUUUCUCGUUUGAGGCUGCCUUUGGUGAAGCAGCUGAAGGUCAGGCAGUCCAGGCAGAGGUAACUGAGGAUGAGCUGAUGGAAGCUUUAGCUGCAAAGAGCGAAGCAGUUAUUGAAGGUGUGGCAGUUGAGGGACUAGUGGUUACGCAAGCUACCGACGAGUAACCUUUUUGCUUAGACUUAGGAAUUUUCUUUUUUUUUCCUUUUCGUUUUGCUUUAUUUGAACUUUGUGGGCCUUCAAGCUAGUUUAUCAAUUUCUUAGAAAUUUAAUAAACAGAUUUCCUUGCUUUGCUUCAAUCUUUCUAUUUUGCCAUGUCUUUUGCGAAACUUUACAGUAGGAUGGGCGGCUGGGUAAGUUGCUUCAAUGAAGCAGUCAAUCCCACGUCAUCACUUAGGUUUUAGUUUCGGCUUUAGGGCUUCAGGAGCCUUGCUUGCUUGAGGCGACUUGCAAAACUUUACCGUAAGACAGGUGAUUAUGUUGGCUACUUCGAUAGAACAGUCGAUCCCACGUCGUCACGUUAGGCUUUAGUCUUGCUUUGGGGCUUCUAAAGAUUUACCUACAAGAGGAAAAAUGCGAGAUUUAUAACUUAUAAAGCCAGCGGCCUAACUCGUCACCUUCUCCAUGUAGUGCAGUAAUUGGUUAUGUGCCCGAGACCUCUGUAGAAUGCGCAGUACUUUGUCUGAUCCAUCUUGGAUGGGUAUUCUCUUAUAGACAGUGGCAGCUUGAACCACGACUUGUCCUUGAGGUCACGAAGGAUCGGGUUGAUCGGGAUUAAGAACUUGGUGUACAUUUUGGGCACCGUGCCUCCUUUCAUUAGGGAUCGAUCCUUGCGUCUGCUUCCUGGCUUGUUUUUAUUAUUGAGCGCUUUGUCACUAGCCUUCUUCUGAGUCAUCUCUGUGUCUUUGCGUAGCUACUCAGGCUACUUUUGGGAGGGUUUGGCCUCAUCCCAAAAGGAAUGCUUUUUCGCCAAAGCAUAAGAGUCUGCCAGGGUCAAGUUCUCGUCCAUGAUUACUUCUCUAAAAAGUGGGUGAUUUGUUAGAAGUCCAUUUCGGAAGGCUGAGCAUGCAAUGCUGUCAUCGCAUCCGACGAUCUUAGCAUUCUCCACCUUAAACCUCUUGACGUAAAUACGGAGUGGCUCAUUCGGGUCAUUCUUCAUGUUGAAGAGGUGAUCAAACUUCUUCUUGAUCAAGUGGUAGGACGAAUAUUUCAUAGUGAAAACCAAGGAAAGUUCACUGAAGUUCCUGAUUGAUCGUGACAGCAGGGUGUGGAACCAAUCUUGCGCUUCGCCUUAGAGCGUUGUGGUAAAAAUCUUGCACAUGAGAGCAUCGUUGUUGGUGUAGAGGGUCAUGUCGGUAGUGCAUCAGGUGCCUGUCCGGAUCUUCAUCUCCUUUGAACAAGGUGAAAUGUGAUAGGCUGAACUUCCGCAACGACUCCAUCUGCUUAUUCUCAUCUGUGAACGGUGACCUGCUCAAGUUGACCACAUCUCUACGAAGGGCAUCGUCAGAAGUGCCAAUACGCUGGAAUCCGCGCAGCUGCUCUGCUACGAGCCUUUGUAUUUCUUCCUGGAUUUGUGCUUAGUGAGGCAAUGAAACCUCUAACUGCCCCCGGUGUUGACCUGCUGGUCCAUGUUGUUCUUUGGCAUGUCUUGCUCGUCUGUGUCGCGGUCACGGUAAACUAUGAUACUUGCCGUAACACUGGGCGGGGGCUGCCAGUGGAACUUGAGCUUGAAUGCCCUCGUGCUCUCCUAUGUCCAUCAUGAGGCUGCCUACUCCGAAGCCUCGUAAAAGGAUUUCUUUGUGGGCCUAGCCUCAUGUGGACACUUCUCCUGGAAUGUCCUGAAUGCUCGUCGGAGUGUGGACCCAACCUUGAAUGCACACUGACUCGUGAACUGAGUCAAGAAUUAGCGUUUAUCUGCGUAUCUAGGCAGGAGAAGGCGCUUCCCUAAGGGCCUAAAAGAGAGUUCACACUACUUGAAUGUGAGAAUCUUUGUCAGGACGUCGCUAGACUGAGUCAUGUUCUUCCGCCCUUGUCCUACUUCUAGACACCUCAUUUGGGGCGUACUGCAUCUUGAUAUGCCUGAUAAGUUGGUUCAUUAAGGUGGUCUGCUGUAAGAGGGUGCUCGUCAAAUUAGCGACCUGUUGGGGCAGGUAGGGCUCGUCAUUUGGAUUAGAAAAGUCUGGAUAAUGGGUGUCUCCAUGUAUAGUGGAAGUGUAGUGGACUGCAGGUACAAAACUUGAGCCCAAAGCAAGCAUUCCUGCAGAAAAAUAAGGUGAAAAUAACCUUGAAUCGAUCACGUGAUCGGUGGUCAGAAUCUGGAUCACCGGAGGUAGCCUCGGGUUGGAUUGGGCCACAAGCUGGGUUGUCAAAGUGGGUCGCAGGGCGGGCCAACCCAGCUGGGUGGUGAGGUUCUGCGUGUGGUCAUGUUGGGCUCACGCAUAUGGCAACUGGUCUUGGGCCUGCACUGUGUGCUGGGCCGGUAUAUGAUCUUCGUAUUGGGUCUGGGCUACGCAUGCAAUAGGAAUGGCUUGGCGCUGUGUUUAGGUUAUGGCUACUUGGGUUGUUAGUUGGGUUCUAACUACUGCAUCUUGGGCCUUCUAAGCUCAGCCUGCUUCUCUAUGGACUUGGGCCUUCUGCCCAUGGGCUAAUAAAUAGACCUGGGCCCUCCCGCCCAGGGUUUUAGGAAUUGGGCCGCUGCAAAGGCAAUGUUGCAAGAGCUUGUGCCAUGGCCUGGUGGCUUUGUUGUGGCUACUGGGUCACGACGGUAAUGGUGAAGCAGCUCCGCAGCGGCGGGGCUCCUCCUGCCAUCGCGUUGAGCCUUGAUGAUCUAUGUCGUAGGGCUAUAUCCUCGUCUCCACUAUUCGAUCUGAAUCCUUGUACAUACGGGGUUCCGUUCGUUGUGGUUUCUAAAUUUCCUACCAUUGUAUCAUUUCUCCAAUGAUUGAUCAAGAAGCUUUUCUAAGAAAAAUUAAUUGAUACGACGUGUGAGAAAUUCAAUGUAACAGAAAAUUCAAGAAACCAAUGCAAAUUUCCGCCGUCUUCAGUCUUGACAAAAAUGUACCCGCAACACAAUUAACACCUUUAAUCAAGGACCUACGCCUCACACACCCACGAGGUGGGGGGGGGGUUAGGCCAAUGAAUCUUCGAUGCCUAAGUCAGUUUCUCUAUGAGAAUAAAGUGUUUAGGGCUUUUUUGGGGUAGCAAAAGUUUCUGAAAUUUGGUAGAAUAUGAGGUAUUUAUAGGGAUAGGGCCGGCCAUAGUGUUAGGGUUUAUGGAGAAAUUUUCUCAAGAUAUUAAAUAGGAAAUAAUAUCUUGAGAAUUGAGUAAUUAUCCCUAAUUGAUUUAAAUAGGGAUUACUUACUUGAUUUGAGUCAAUCUUCAAUUAGGAAUGUAUUAAAGAUAGGAUUUGGGUAACUAAUCCUUAUCUUUAAUGCUUUGACUUUUCUUUGCUAAGGGCAGGUGAGUUGUGGGCAGUUGUAUUCAGCUGCAGGGACCUUCAAAGGUGUGAGCUGCGCGUUAGAGCAUCUGAGAAACCUGCCCAUUUAUUGAAGGCAAUCUUGUCUUUCUUUAGUUUGAUUUGGAUAUUUGUGGCUUGGUUCCAACCUCUUUACCACCUCUCAAAAUGAUGGCUUUUGCAGAUUCAAAUCCACCUUUUGGGUUGACAACGGUUGAACUAGGCUAUUUGCCUUGCUCUUUGAAUUGGCCCAUGAAUUACGCCAUUUGCCCCAUUUGCUUCUUCAAUUCAUCUACCUCUUUGGCUUGAUUUUGCAUUCCCUGCACCACAUUGGUUAAUAAUUGAACAAUUUGAUCGUUAUCCAUGAACGAACCUGAUUUUGGUUGGGCAAAUUGUGGUUGGGGUUGUGUUGGUACGUAUAGCCUUGGAAACAUCCCAGGGGGUGGUGGUCGAAAUCCUCCUUGUUGUGGAAGUUGUUGAGGCUCCCUCUAUUUCAUGUUUGGAUGAUCUUUCCAGCCCGGAUUGUAAGUAUUAGCAUAUGGAUCAUAUUUGGGCUGGUUUUGGCCUUGAAACCCAAUGGCUUUGGCACUUUCCCAUCCUCAAUUCUCAAUCAAUUAAGGGCAUUUUUCAGAUUGGUGUCAUUGUAUAGAGCACAUGCCAUAAAUUGUGUUUUCUUGCACUUUGGGUCUUUCAACAACCUGUGACAUAAGAAGAGUGAGAUUAGCCAAUUGAGAUUGAAUUUCAGAAAUUACACUUACCUCAUUCACAUGUUGCGGCCGUGGGGGUUCUUUCUGUCCAACUCCUUCGUAUUGUUAUGCAUUCAAGGCUUGGUUGGCAAUUUGGGUCUUGGCAGGUGUUUGUCAACCAAAGCUCAUCCCGCUGAGGCAUCUAGCAUUUGUCUUUCAAUGGGAAGAAGUCAUUCGUAGAAAUAUUGAAGGAGAAGCUUUUCUUUCAUUUGAUGUUGAGGACAUGAUGCAACGAGAGUCUUGAAACGCUCAUAAUACGCUGGAAAGAAUUCUCCUUGAUUUUGUUAAAUGCCACUAAUUCUCUUCCUCAAAGAAUGACUCUUGACGUUGGAAAGAACUUCUCUAAGAAUGCUCUCUUCAUGCUUUCCCAAGAAGUGACUGUUCCAGAUGCCAAUUCAUACAACCAAUCCUUAGCCUUUUCCAAAAGAGAGAAUGGAAAAGCAAGUAAAUUAAAGACUUAAAUAAGUUUGCACAAAAUUGGGGGAAAAUAUGGGUGAAUGGCUAGCUACAAGGUCCUUCUCCACACAUGACACGCUUGCAUACAAAACGAUUUCCAAUUGCUUUUCCAUUAAACCAUGAACCUCAACACCCCAGAUUAACCGUGAACAGCACUAAUUAACCCUCAGAUUUUCCUUAAGUCAUUGAAUUGCAUGGAUAACACAUCGGCAACCAAAUUAUUCUUCAAUAGUUCCCUACAUGAACAGCAUAAUAGAGAUACAAUAAAAAAUCAUUAAGCUUUGUGAAAAUCAUUAAGCUUUGUGAAAAUCAUAAGCAUUGACAAGGCAUUCGUAACUAUAAACAGCAUGAUACUCCUGCCAGGAAUCUACUUGACACGAUUGUGACUAGCAACCUCGACUACUUAUGAAUAUAAGUUCAUAACAUUUAGGUGAAAUGAUAAGCUCAUAUUUAUAUAUAUUUUACAUCAAACUCACUUGUCUUUUCUUAGUUAGCUCCGUAUAUUUUUGAGCUAUUUACUUUGUUUUUGUGUUUUCUAGGAUUUGUCAAUCAAAGAAAAGAAAAAUAGCACAAGUGGGAUUUUAAGUAACAAAUUUGUCAAAACUGCCUGUGCAGGUCAACUGACUUUGGAAGCAAGUUGUGAACAGCUCAAAAUGAAUUACAGAAUGAGCUUUAUAUGCUUGGAAAGCUACGGAUGUCUAUUUUCUGGAGCAUUUCGUGGAUUGUUAAUAUCAUUUUUGUAGAAGAAAUGAUCGUUUUAACACUGAAAGGUUCAGAAGAGACUGAGCAGUUUGUAACUGCAAUGAAAGCAAUAAACCCAAUAAAUCUAGCAGCCAAAACUGAUGCAGCCAAGAACAAGCCAGUUGAUACCUAUUCAAAUAUCAGAGGAAAUGGAAAUAAAGAUGAGGAUUAAGUGGGAGAAAUUGGCAUAAAGGAUACCCAAAGAGUUACAAUUGUUUUACCAUUUCCUCUCACUUAUUGCCAUCACUAAAUGGCUGUUAGUGGGUGAGUUAAGGAGAAGAAAAUGGGGCAGCAAGUUAAAAAGGGGAAAGGCUGCAGGUUGCAGGUUGAAAAAAAAAAGAGAGGAAAAAAAACAUAAAAGAAAGAGGACAAGGCAGCUUUGCGGAAAGGAAGGAAAGGAAGAAGGAAAUCUUGGCAUUCUCUCCUCUCGGUUUUAUCUUCUCAAACUUAUGUCUUUCUUUUGGUUUUAUUUGAUAAUAAUGUGUAACUAAAUUUUUAGUAGUUAGGGGCUGUUUUGAAGCCCCGAAUAUGACUGCAAGUUUGUUAUGACAUUUUGUUUGAAUUACUUUUAUGAAUGGAUGAAAAUUGAUUCACUACUUGUCUCAUUGAUGAAUUCUUUAUGUGUUUUCUACGGAUGCAUACUUAGUAAGCAUAUCUAGGAUUCUAACGCUAUGAAUAUAUGUGUGCCUGCUCUUGUCGAAUGAGGACCUACAUAUGUUCUAAAGUAGUACUUGUUAAUUGCGAUUAACAUGUGAACCAAUUUCUAGGAUAAGUAAGACAACACCAGUACUUACGAUGCCUAGUGAUGACUCAAACUCUUUUCGUUCUUAAUGAUUUCUACUUGUUAAAUCUAUGAACAUGCCAUUCUAGAUUGCAUGCUAGGGACUAAGUUAAGUUGAAAACGCCAUUCUCUUAACGUACUACAUAAGAAAGAGUAAUAGGUUGAUUUAUAACAUUGAGCCAACUUGAGCAUCUUCAUCCUGAAAUAAAAGGAAUUUGAAUGAAACAUAACAUGUUUGCAUGAUUAUUUGGUGGUGGAUAGCAAUUCCCCUAACUCGUUUUUCUUAAUUUGUGAACUACUUAAACUUUGUUUCUGUCCUGUUUUCGUUUGAUUUAAUUUAAAUAGCAAAUCAACUCCACAAAUCCUAAAAAUUUGUGUGAGUGUAGCUCUGUGUGUCUAGUGUGUUUAUAUAAAAUUUCAUAGACUUUAGAUAAGUGUAAGUCAGUCUAAUAAUUAUUUUUCGGUGGCUGGUUAGUAGGGACAGCAACCAGUUUUUGUGACAUUUUAAGUAGUUAGAUAAAACAAUCUUCUGCGGGAAAGACCCUUAUUUUCAUAUGCUACAAUUGACAAAUCUUAGUGUUAUUAAGGAAAAUCAAUAGGACAUUUGUGUGCUACUUUGUGGUGUGCUUUUAAUUCUAUCAUGAAACUCCCUUAUAUGCUAGCUUCAAAUUCAUGCAUGCAAACUAAAUAUGCAUCCUUAAUCCACAAACAAGAACAAGUUCUGAAUCAAACAAUUAAGUAAAUUGCAUUCACGAUUUAUAGAAUCACAACUGGAAGUAAUCAAUUCAUAUUGCAAAUAUAUUCAUGGCUUUGAAUUUCCCCCUAGCGAAAACGAGUUUAGCUCCUCAUGUUCGCAAAACAAAGAUAAUUAAACUUAAACAUUGAAAACAAAAGAUGGAUUACAUCUAAGAAUGUUCCAGCAAUCCAACUUGAAUGGCAAGCACAUCCAAGGGUCCUCCUUCUUCUUUGUUGCAGCACAAGGUGUGGGUGAAGGUUUGAGUGAUGAAUUGUAUGAAGGAAUGGUUGAAAGUAUGAAUGGUAGUGAAUGGAUGAUUGAAUGGUGCGGCUAAGGCAUUUAUUUAUAGGGGAAGGAAAGGACACGGCUGGGAAUUAAUUUGGGAAGAGUUUAAGACUCCAAAUCCUCCAAGAAAAGGGUAACAAAUCAGAAUCCCAAGAGGAAAAGGGUAAGUGAGGUGCGGCAAGGAAAAAAGGAAAGGGGAAUCCCUUGCCGUGCAAGGGAAAGGGUUUCUAGAGGGCAUUGGUGCGGCAUCCCUUUGCGGCUGGGAUUAGGUCUUCUAGAACCUAACAUUAAGUGUCCAAAUAUAUUUGGGAACCCUCCUUUCAGCUGUAAGUUAGUUGGAUUAGGAUUAGGAAAGUGCUGGAACAAAAUAAGGUAACUUAACUAAUGUUUCCUCUUUUCUUGUUGAUCUCCUUAUCUUCUUUAAAUUAAUUCUUCUUUCUCUUUAACACAUUCCUAGCCUUUUCAGUCUUCAAUUUCAUUCAUCCACCUUGCUCCAAACAUGUGAUAUCCAUUCCAAGCCCAAAAAUGCUCUAAAAGGCACCAAAAUGCACUUUCUUACUACUUUAGUCAUUUGGAUCUACAAACACACGAAAAUAACUUAAAAUACUAAAAUAACUAGGAACUAAUAACAUAAAUGCAAGAAAAAGCUAACUAAGUCAUAUAAAUAUGCUCCUAUAUAUAUAUAUAUAUAGAUUAAAAAAGAGUGUAGGAAAUGGAGGGGUUCGAGAGUAGGGGUACUGGGAAGUAUUCAUGAGGCUACCUCUUUUAUGCUUCAAGAUCUCAAUUAAUUGUUGUUUUUUCAUGGUUAAGAGCAAUGGGGAAUUUUUUUGUCAUUAAGGGUAUAUUAGUACUUUUACAUUAAGUUUUGGUUAGAAUUAUCAUAAAACUAAAAUAAUGGCUAUAAUUCUUUAUGGGAUCUAAAAUAUGUUUUUCCAAAUUUCCCCACACACACACACACACACACACACACACACACAUUUAUAUAUAUUAUUUCAUCGUCAGGCUCACUAAUUUUUGGGGUUAGUAUUUUUAAUCUUGCUUAUGGGGUUAUGCUGCGUUUGGCUACUGUGGAAUUGUACCUACUCAAUUGAAGUAAAGUUUGAUAUUUAUUUACUUGAUGACUUCUAGGAAUAGUGAAGAUCUAAAAGAUAAAUGGAGAAUUAAAUCUAAUAUUCAUUUCGAUUAACUAGUUAAUUAAAUAGAUUAAUGUCUAGUGAGUUUGUAAUUUGUUUCUACAAUUAGGUCAAGCAAAUGCAGUUCUGUUUCAGAAACAGCAGCUGUUACAGUAAAUAAAUCUAAUAUUCAUUUCGAUUAACUAGUUAAUUAAAUAGAUUAAUGUCUAGUGAGUUUGUAAUUUGUUUCUACAAUUAGGUCAAGCAAAUGCAGUUCUGUUUCAGAAACAGCAGCUGUUACAGUAAAUAAAUCUAAUAUUCAUUUCGAUUAACUAAUUAAUUAAAUAGAUUAAUGUCUAGUGAGUUUGUAAUUUGUUUCUACAAUUAGGUCAAGCAAAUGCAGUUCUGUUUCAGAAACAGCAUCUGUUACAGUAAAUAGCUCAAUUGUUUCUGGUGGAUUGGUGCUCCUUUUCAUUUCUUUUUUUGGUUUAGGGCAAUGUCGUAGAUAGACACCUACAUUGUAGUGGACCUAGAUAUACAACAGGAAGAUGAGUUAAUUUUGUUUCUCUAAAAAUUCAGCGUCGUUAUUACUCAAAUAUAAACUGUUAGUUGCAGAUUUUUGUAGCAUUAUUGCAACUUCAUAUCCUUAGUUUAUGUAAUUUGUCUACUUGGGUUGACAUAGAAAGACCAAAAAAUUAAACACAAUUACCUAUCAGAUACGCCGUGGAACAGUAUCCCUACUUUCAUAUUCAGCUUCUCUUACCUUAGAAUAUUUGAAACCUUGCAGAGUGUCACCUCAACCUUUUUUCUUCCCUCAACUCCAUAUGGAAAAACUUGAAUGAACAAAAACUCCCUAGCUAGGAAUCGGUACAAGAAUUAUUGAAACAUAAUUAAUUGGACAAUACAUAAGAAAAUUUUAGUUGUCAGUUAUAAAAGAAGGGUUACAAAAUAAUAGCAGCAAGUUCUCAUCUAAAAAAUGUAGCUCGGAUUGAGUAAAACAUUAACAUGUGAGAAAGCAACUUCUGGUUAGAAAGCUUUCCAUGUAGGACUAUCCAAGCCAUCUUCAAGCCCCAACUGGUAUGGAUCUCCAAAGGGCAAUGCAAGAAUCAUAUGUCUGUAAAAAUAUUUUUCAAAACACUUCUAAUUAGGCUACAAUCUUUGUUAAAAUUUGUUUUAGCACUCGUCCUUCUUGAUUUUAUUGUUUUUGUGCUUAAACUAGCAAUGGUAUAUACUAUAUAUAACAGAAUUUAAAUGAAUAUGAAUAAAUACUCGGAUUGUAAAAUAGUGUAUAAUAGUAGUGCUCUUUAUUAAUUAACUCACCGGGGUUAGUUGCUAGGAAUCGUAUGGCAACCCAUUCACCAGACAGCACACCCACGGUAUUUCUUUCAACGGCGUUGAUCAAAUUAAAGUUUGCAGAGUCCUUAUUCCGGUCAAAGUUCCCGAACCGUUACCCAACAACAAAGAAAUUAAAUCCAUGCAGAUGAAAGGGGUCGCUUUCGGCGCCCAGAAUGCUUGUGUCUUGCAUGACCAACUCCGCCCUAUUGUUCUAUGGAAGUACCAUUAGUUUUGUACUACCAUAGUAUCAUUAGUUAGGAUGCCUGUAUAGUCAAAUGGAAUUAUAGGACUGCUUGGAAAGUCAGGGCUCUCGUUAAGUGGAAUUACAGGACUGCUUGGAAAGUCAGGGCUCUAAACCCCAUUCGAUUGCCUGGAGAAGUUCGCUUGAAGUAGAGCAGUCGUUGUGUUGAAGGAAUGAAGUGUGUCCCGAUGGGUUUAGGGUGUAUCUCUAGGGUAAGCUUUUUUUUUUGGUCAACGAUCUCUAGGGUAAGCUUAAGGCUAUAUUGUUGUGAAUCAGUUUUUCCUUAAUUUAAGGGAAGUGACUGAUUAGUGUAAAGUAGAUAAAGCUUUUCCUUGAUCUAAGGAAGGUGACUGAUUGGGUUAAGUAGGUUAGCUCUAGUUGGCUGUGAUAGACAGCCUUCUUUUAUUCCUCCUAGUCAGCUGCUUGCAGUAGCUAACUAUCCGGACCUCUUCUUCUUCUCCUCUCUCAUAUAUAACUUGUCACUUGUACAUUUGAAUAUAUGAAAAUACAUUGAAACUUAAAGCUAGAAAAUCUACACGUUGGCAUUGCAAAAGAAACGUUAUUAACUGAAGCUGCAAACAUUGUUCCAUUAGAUCCCCGAAAGGUUUGGUUAUUGUUGCUGCAGGGGUUCGUUCCAAGGCCUAUUGUGAAGAAAAAGUGUUUGUUAACCUUAUGGGGGACAUUAGCAGGAAAUUGUGCAUUGGCUAAUUAUUUGUAUCAUAUUUACGGAUUGAAAACAUCUUUUAUGUGAAAUUGAAUGACACACAUAUCCCAGUAAUCAACCUUGGAUGCUAAUUUUAGAUUUUAAUGCCAUUACUAGUUUAAAUGAAAAAGUAAGGGAUCAACGAGUAGUCACAAACUACAUGUUAAUUUGUGGACUUCCAGAAUCGAGGAGCCUUUCAAGUCUUAAUGCUUCUUGAGUUCCUUUUACGUGGACUAAUAGUCAUAAAGAUAAUAUUGUUAUCUUUGAAAAGCUUGAUAGAGUUAUGGCCAACUCUUAGUGGUUGUAUACAUUCCCCAAGUAUAGGGUUCAUAAGGCCAUCUCCAACCGAGGGUUGGCCAGAGGGCUCGUUUUAGCCCUCUGGUCCUCCAAGAUAUUAAUAUUUUAAUGAACAGUACAAGGCCAUAUUUGCCUCCAUCUCCAAUCGAGAGCCAAAGGGCCAUAUGACUCAUUUUAGCCCUGUCACAAAAAAUCGUCUCCAACCAAAGGACAUAGGGCCAAACAUAAUUUAUUAUUUAAAAACUACAAGUUAAAUUCAAAUUUAACAGCUAAGUGACAUUAGCAUGAUGUCAGCUAGCAGUUGGUAGCUGACUUCAUGCUGACAUUAGCUAGCCGUUGGAUUUGAAUUUAUUUUUGCUAUAAAUAGGGUGGAUAUUGGGCUAUAAUUCACACAACUUUGAAUUCAAUCUAUUUCAAUUCAAUCUCUUUCAAUUCAAUCUUUUUCAAUUCAAGUUUGCCUUUUAAUCCAAGAACUAGUAGUAUCUCUAUAAAUGAGUACAUGAGGCACUAUAGAAUGAUACGUUCUCGUGCUACAAACAAGUACCUACAACAGGAUCUUGUUGCACAUCUUUGGGCCAAAAGAAGCAUGGAGUAGGCGUUUAAGUUUUAUGUUUUUAAAAAUAUUGUAAGUUUCAUGCUGUUAAAUGUUUUUUUUUAUGUUGUAUAAUUUGUAUGUUGGUUAAUGUUAUUUAAUGUUGUUUCAUAUUGUUUAAUGUUGUUUCAUGUUACUUAAUUUAAUUUAAUGUUGUAUAAUGGCUUAGGACAUUAUAGGAAAAAAAAAUAUAAUUUAAAAAAAAUAUGAAACAAAUUUUGUGAAAUAACAGUUAUAGGAAAAAAAAAUAGAAGUUAAAAUAAAAUGAAACAAAUUUUGUGAAAUAGAAGUUACAGGAAAAAAUGGAAUUAAAAAAAAUAUAUGAAACAAAUUUUGUAAAAUAAAAGUUAUAGAAAAAAAAUAGAAUUUAAAAAAAUAUUAAAAAUAGAAGUUAUAGGAAAAAUUUUGUAAAUAAAAAAUAAUAAUAAAACUGUAAAAAAAAAAAAUCAAAUGCACAGCUAGCUGACGUCAGCUAGCCGUUGCAUUUGAAUUUUAGCUUUAGCAUUGGCCAGCCUCGAGCUGGCUAGCUACAUGCAGCCAGCCCUCCAGCCCUUUCAGAUUCCAUGGGGCCCUCUCAGAUUCCACGAGCCCUCUGGCCUAGCCUCGGUUGGAGACGGUUUUUUGGUUAUUUUCGGCAAUUUGGCCCUCUGGUCCCUUUAGUUGGAGAUGGCCUAACUUUCCUAUUUUUGGCUCUAACCAUAGCCCCGUUAAACUAACUUUUUUGGACAAGACUGCUAACUUCUAAACAAAUUUCAAAUUUGAAGCUAUUUGGCUUAAUGAUCCUGAUUGUACUAAUUUGGUUAAAGAAAGUUGGUUGGCCAAUUUCCAGGGUCAUCUAAACGAUAUGUUCAGAGCUUGUGAUAAUUCCUUUAAAUUCAAAGCGAAAGCAUGGAGUAAAAAUAUCUUCGGUAAUGUGACAAAGAAGAUAAAAGAGCUCCUAAGUGAACUGGCAACUGUUCAGGACUGUAUGAAGAAUCCUAAUAGGAAUGAUUGGUUGGAGAAGGAAAGGAAAUUAAAUGAUUCCCUUGUUGCUUUGUACAUGGAUGACGAAAUUCUCUGGGCUCAAAGACUUAAGGCUAACUGGUUGCAGCUUGGGGAUAGAAAUACCAGGUACUUCCAUACCUAAAUCACUAUAAGGAAAAGAAGAAAUGAAAUCAUAAAAAUUAAAGAUGAUCAUGGUAACUGGUGGGAAAAAAAGGUAAACGUAUGGAGGAUCUAUUUAUUCAAAAGUUUAAACAAAGGCUCACCAGCACCAUUCAAAGUCACAGAGAUAAUAAGGUGGAUGAAUCCAUAAGUGUUCUAAAUCCUGUAUCUCAGUAGAACAACAAUUUGCUCAUAAGGCCUGUAACUGAGGCUAAAAAUUUUUAGGCUGUGAAAGCUAUUGGGAGCUUAAAAGCUCCUAGUCCUGAUGGUCUCCACGCUAUCUUCUAUCAUGAAUGUUAGGGUCAUGUUAAGGGCUAGUAAACCUAUCCUUAAAAAUGGAAUGAGAUGGAUUGUUGGAAAUGGUAAAAACAUAAUGUUUUGGUCCCAUAACUAAAUUUUUCCUUUCCCAUUGUCCACUCCUAUUCAAGAUCAAUUAAUAAACUCUUUAAAUUAAAAUAUGAAAGUUAGUGAUGUCAUGGUAGAGAAAAUAUAGAACAAUGAGUUAAUCCUUCCAGUGCUGCCUAACGAUGUAGCAAAUAAAAUUUUUGCCAUCUCUAGCCCUUUAAAUGAUAUGGAGGAUGAGUUUAUCUGGGACCAUCUUUUAAUGGAAAUUUAUCAAUUAAAUUAACUACUUGGAUUCAAAUUGAUGAUGCUCACAGUAAACUUUUCAACGAUUUAUUCAAGAAAGUGUGAAAACUUAGUAUUCCACAUAAAGUUAAAUUUUUUGCUUGGUUGCUUAUAAGAAAUAGAUUGUCUACUUACAAGAGAUUAGAUAAGUAUCAUCAUAAUGGCCAAACUCUUUGCCCUUUAUGCAAUAUUGUAGAGAAUGAUCAACUACACUGUUUUGUUUACUAUAAUCAUGCUUAAGAAGUUUGGAAGCUUUGUAAUAACAUGCGUCCACCGCCACCACCCCCCCCCCCUUCCCCUCCCAUUACCAAUAUGAAUGAUUGGUUAGUGGGGAUGUUAGCUUUAGAUAAAAUGAUCUUUCUGACCUUAGAAAAAUCUCAAUUCUUUGUUGGCAAAUGUGAAAUGAUAGAAAUAAUUUUGUUUUUAAACAGAUUAAACCUUAUCCAACUUUCUGUCUGAUGACAACGACUAUAAUUGGAAAAGAUUUCCUAAAGGCUAAUUUGAAACAGAAACCAAGCAAGACUAAGCAACACCAUUAGAUGGAAAAUGCCUACAGAAGGCUUUUAUAAGCUCAAUUUUGAUGGGUCAGUGGAGGACACUUUUGCUGCUAUGGGUUUUAAAAUAAAAAAUCAUUAGGGGUGUGCUCGCUCGACAUCUUGGACCAAUCACUAUCACCAUGGAAGAAGCUUAGGCUCUCCGGGAUGCUCUGGCUUUGGCCAAAUAACGUCAAAUCAGGAAAAUUGUGGUCGAAAAGGGACUCAAAGGUUGUCUUUGAUGCAGUUUUUGGAAAGUGUACAGUACCAUGGAGAAUUAAGUCCAUCGUUUAGGACAUUAAAUGGCUUACCUCAUCGUUUGAGCUAGUAGAAUGGAACCAUUUCUACAACGAAGCAAACUUCAUGGUGGAUGCUAUCACUUCCCUUGAGCAUAAUUGUACUAAUUUAUAUAUGUGGGAUGGGUGUGUUCCUCACCAAGCCAGAAAAAAAAAGCUCUCUUGUAUUAUUCUCGAGGCCUUGGGUGUCAUUGAAGUUUCUAUUUAAUUUAAUCUUCUUUCUUCCUAAAAUAAAUUAACACAAAUACAUGUGUGAAUGACUAUAUACAAUUGAUAUAAUAUGGUCAUGUGCAUGGUCUAAAAUAUCCAUAAUAUCCCGAUAUUUCCAUCGAAAUUUCCGUGUUUUUGGACUACAGAUAUUUUUUUGGACUACCGAUAUUUCCGAUAUCAUCGAUAUUUAGACCUUGCUAAGUCACUCAUGUAUCUUACCAUGCAAUGUAUAAAGUGUAAAAUAUUGUACUAAUUCAUUAUAUAUAAAUGAUUAUGGUGUGUUUAAACUUCUUUCAUUAAUUACUACAUAUUUUCUACACUCACAAUGUUUGCCAGCUCGCUAUCUAAUCAACUUAAAUCAGUUAUACCUAUCAUGCAAUGCAUUUCCUUCCAAUUUUUUGUGUUAAACUAAUAGAUAAUUGACUAAAUAAACAUCGUGCAAAGUUUCAAUAAAAAUUUCCAAUUUUUUCUUAUAAUUUCCGUAGUUUUUAUUCAAUUUUUAUCGAUAUCGAUAAUAUCUCGAUAUUUCCAUCGAAAUUUCCGUGUUUUUGGACUACCGAUAUUUCCGAUAUCAUCGAUAUUUAAUACCUUGGUCAUGUGUGGGAAAAAUUAGGAAUUCUCAAAGGAAUGAGCUAAAUAUAAAAUAACAAAAGGAAAGGAAAAAUAAUGCAGAUCAACGGCCACCAAUUUAAUAACGGAAGCACAACACAAAAUUUAAAGACCAUCAGAAAAGAGGUAAUCGGCUUAGUUGUACUUGAAAAUGAUUGUUAUUAUGUUGCUUUGGGCUUUUGGAUGAUGGGUUAUGGUAAAGCCUCGUUUGGGCCAAAAGUCUUAUCUUGGACUAUAAUAGCCUAUUUCACUUCAGUUGUUAAUUACUUGCGCCCAAAUCUACUUGGACCAUAACAUGUGUCUUAAUUGUUACUUAGUACUACAGUAUAGUGAUAUUCUUCUUUACUUGUAAGUGACAGGUCUUAGAUUCGAUUCUCGCUAAAUGCAAAUUUGAACCACAUUAUUGCUAACUCAUUGUGAGGCUUAGCCCACUCCCUCACCCCGUUAGUGUAGAUAAUAUCGUUUGUUCCAAAAAAAACAUAUGUCUUUAUUUUAUCUUAAAGUUUUUCUAGAGUUGAGGAAUUGGUUGCAACUUUUGUUUCUUAAAUUUUGUGUUCUAAACUCUCUUUUAUUUGUCAUACAUAUAUACAAUAAUGUCGCUUUGAAUAUAUUAAGUCAUUCCGGAACCUCUUCUAACUAACGAACACAUACCUCCUUUCACUCUCCCUAUUAUCAACUUAUCACUAGGCAAAAAGAGGCGUCACAUUUGGUUUAUGACUAAUUGUUAAAUUGAGCAAUGAGCAUUGAAAAUAGCUUAUUUUCAACAGGUAAAAAAGACUAACCGUUAUGCCUCAUGUAAAUACAAGACCAGGACCGACUGUGAGAUUUUGGAGGCAUGAGGUAGGCCAAUGAAAGGGGGCCCUUGUGUUCUUAGGCAAUCUUACGUUUUUUUUUCCUUUUAUUUUUUAUUUUUUAUCAAUUAGGCAAUCUUACGUUGUACGUUGAUGUACGUUGCUUUUUGGGUUAAAAAUCACUAAUUUAUUAUUAUAGAAUGCCUUAGAUGAUACAAGACUUAAAAAAUCACAAUAAUAAAUUAUUGAAAAACACAUUAAUUUCAUAGUUUCUAUUUGAUUACCUUAAAUCGCAAUCUUGUAGAUCUUGUGAGAUUUGAUUUCCACCAAUAGAAUAGAGAGAUUGAAAUUUGAAAGAAAAGAGAGAAUUGCAAGAGACUUUGGGUGCGUUUGUUUGGGCUCGUUAACUCUUACUGGACUCGCGUGGAUUAUUUCCACCGCUAGAAGUCUUAGCGAGACCCAGAAACCCAUGAGACUGCUAAGACAUUCGUUGCAUUUUCAUCUUCUCGCCUUCCUCUCUGCAUCGCAUCCUCCCUCUCCUCUCUUUGCUCGCGUCGCCAACAUCGUAUCGUCUGGUAGUUUUGAUUCUCCCGUCGCGUCCUCUAUGCACUUUGGUCUCGACGUCGUCCGAUUCACUCCGAGCUUGCAUGCACCCUCGCUGGUAGACAAAGCCCAAAUUUCCUGGAAUUACAAAAUCCAUUCAAAUCGCAAAACCCACACUUAAAAUGCAAAUCCCAAAAUUGAAUUGCAAAAUCAAGUUCGUCUGAAGCUCACCAUCUGCACAUCUUUUUCAAUCGUGAAACACAGAUUUAUGCGGAACAACUUUUCAAGAUAAUAAUAAUAAUAAUAAUAAUAAUAAUAAUAAUAAUAAUAAUAAUAAUAAUAAUAAUAAUAAUAAUAAUAAUAAAAAGAGAGAAACAGGGAGAGCUUUUUUGAGAGAAAGUGUUCUUGAAAAAGGGGAGAAAUGAAAAGAAACCAGAAAAGAGGGAGAGCAUUCAGAGAUGGUUCUGGAAAAAGGGAAGAAAGGAAAAUGAACCAAAAAAGAGGAAUAGGGGUGGGCGCGGUGCGAUGGGCUGCGGUGCGGUGCGGUGUGGUUUUGAAGUUAAAAUCGAAAUGAAAUCAAACUGUUUGGUUCGGUUCGGUGUAGUUUUAAAAGGUUUCGGUUUGAUUUUUGAGAAAAAAAUGUACAAUUUAAAAUAUACAUCUAUUUAUACAUAAGAUGGUCUUAUUUUCCUCAUAUAUUAAUUAAUGAAUAUGCAGCAACAACAAUGCAGCAAAAAACAGUGGCAAAACUGCAAAAAAAGUGCAGCAAAAAGCAGCAGCAAAACUGCAAAAAACAGAAAAACAGCAACAAAAAACUGCACCAAAACUGGAGCAAAAAACUCAGUAAAACUGCAACAAAAACUGCAGCAAAACUGCACCAAAUUUGCACCAAAACUGCACCAAAAAACUGCACCAGGUUGCACUGUCGCAAACUUACAGAGAUGCAAGCAGAAGUAACCAGGUCGCAUAAUUAAAGAUGAGUUUCAAGAAGACGAGUUAAGGAAAAGAUGAGUUUUAAGAAGAUGAGUUAAGGAGAUGAAGAUGUGUUUCAGCCUUCAGGAGUCGAAGUGCAAAACUAAAUGAUAAUGAUAGUCUAGUAACCUAGUUGAACUAAUUAAAAGUUUAAAAUAUAACAUUUAUUUAUUAAUUUUAUUAUAUGGUGCGGUUUCGGUUUCGGUGCGGUUUUGAAAACCCAAAACCGAAACCAAACCGUUUUCUUUGCCGCGGUUUGGUUUCGAAACCAAAACCGUUUCAAAACCACAAAACCAACCGUUCGGUGAGGUUCAAUUCGAUUCGUGUUUCGGUUUCGGUUUUCGGUUCCAAGUGCCCACCCCUAAAGAGGAAGAGCUUUCGUGAAAAGAAAAGAAUGUUCUAAAAAUAAAAAAUAAAGAAAAGAAAAAAAGAAAAGGUUAUUUUGCUUGUUAAUUCGGCACUGCACCAAAUGCUUCACUAAGUUAAUUUAGGUUAUUUAGUCUAAGCCAGUUUAACUUGGUCCCUAAACUUAGAGCUGGUUUGGUAUUGCUAUACUUUGAAAAAAAAACUGCUUCUGUUGUGCUAUGAGAAUAAGCUCAUUUUUGCUGCUUCACGUUUUCAGUUUUUUUUUUAUUAACAGAAGACACCUCAACAUGUUAGUUAGACACCUUAGCAUUUGAUUAGCUCAGUGGUUAAGUUUUAUCUAAAUAUAACAACUGUGAUUUUAAAGACUAUAUAUAUUUGGAUAAUCACUUGUAUUUUGUAAGUAUUCAUGUCAGUAAAUACAACUUGCUCUCCAAGAUCUUUUCUCUCUCUAACAUUUCAUUCUCUUUCUUGUUCUUCACACUUUGUUUCCAUUGUUGAAUCUUUGAGUUCUUGAGAUCAUGAUUUCUCUCUAGUUAUCAUGGUAUCCAGAGCUUAGGUUUCAAUAAAUCUAAGAGGAGGAUCCUGGUUGGUUCAUCUGGCGCUGCGAUAGCUGUUUGGCGGUGGAUUUGGUGGUUGUUUGGCUGGAAUUUCAAUUGUUGUUGGCAAUCGAUUUCUUUGUGUUUUCGUCACAUCAGGUUUCGAUUUCUUUACUGGUUAAUGCUACCUGUGUUCGAUAUUUGUGAAAUUUUUUGAAUUAUCUGUUUGUGUUGUUGAAUGCGAUGAUUCUGUGUUGGUAAUUUUCUAAGGCACAAAGCCUCUAAGUAAUUGUUUGGGAAUUUUUCAUUCAUCUGAUCAAUUCAAAUUCGAGCACGAAACUCCUUGUUAUCUGCAAUUUGUAUGUGAUUUGUCUCCCUGCAGUGAUUUUGUUGAAGACUGGACAUUUGAGUUUGUGAUGAGUUUUGUGGAUUGUUCUUUGUUUUCUUUUGGCAUGAAACCUGUUGAUGUUAAUUGUUGGCACGAAGCCUGUUGCUACUCAUUGGUGGCACGAAGCCUGUUGAUACUCAUUGGUGGCAUAAAGCCCGAUUUAUUCAUCAAUUUCUUGAGCACGAAGCUCUCUACAAAAGUUUUUUUUUUUUUUUUUGUGUUUAGCUAUUCGAUCGAAAAUUCUUUUGAAGCAUGGCGAUGAAUUCUAUCAAGAUGGACAGUUUAUUGGGCAUGUUAACUAUGCGAUUACAAGAUGAUAAUUUUGUGAAAUGGUCCUUUCAAUUUUGAUCUAUUCUUGAAGGUUAUGACCUAUUUGAGCAUUUUGAUGGUUCCUUUGUGUGUCCGUCGAAGUUUGUGGUUACUAAGGAGACUGGGAUUACUACUGAGAUUACAAAAGCCGAUAAGGAGUGGAUUAAACAAGAUAGAGCUCUUGUGAGUCUAUUACUUGCUACACUUGGUGAUGAAGCUGUUGAGUAUGUUGUUGGUUGCAAAACUGCUCAUGAAGACUGGACGAAUCUUCAAGACCGGUAUGCUACUGUGUCUAGGGCUCAAAUUAAUCAUUUGAAGACUGAGCUUCACACUAUCAAGAAAUGGGCUAAUAGUGUAGAGAAGUAUAUGCUCAGACUUAAGGCUUUUAAAGAUCAAUUAAUUGCAGCUAGUGAAGUAACAUUUGAGAAUGAUCUAAUUAUAGUUACUUUGGCUGGCUUACCUGCUGAGUUCAACAUGAUUCGAACUAUGAUUGUAGCUUGUGAGACUCCAAUUUCCUUUAAGGAAUUUAGGGCAUAAUUGUUAGCUGCUAAAAGAACUGCUAAAGAUCUCAUUCUACUUUGACUUUUCCAAUGUCCGACAUGUAUUGCCAUGGUGAAUCUUCUAAUGCUGCUCAAAACUCUUAGAGGUCUUCAUAAUAUUUUGAUGAAGGUUAUGGUUAUGUUGGUCAAAGUCGUGCUGAAUCUUCGAGUAAUGGUUCCAGACCAAAUGGUGGGCUAAUUUCUCAAGCUCAAUUGCCUCCAUUUCAUCAAUAGGGAAAUGGUCAUUUUCAAAAUCAAAGGAAUUAUCAAAAUUAUGGCAGCAAUAAUGGAAGAUUUAAUAAUCGACCCAGAUCUAAUAGAGGUAACAAUGGCAGAUUUUCUAGGAAUUCCACCAUGCCUUCUAAUAAUUUUGGUAACAGUGGAGGAAUUGGAAUGGCAACAUUGGUUCUAAGUCUACUCUGAUUCCUAAAUGUCAAAUUUGUAAUAAGCGUGGGCAUACUGCACCAAAUUGCUUCUCUUGGUAUUUUGCAAGUUCUAGCACUGUUCCUUCAAUUCUAGAGUGUCAAAUAUGUGGGAAACGAGGGCAUACUGCUCUUAACUGCUACCACAGGAGCAAUUAUGCUUAUCAGGAUGCUCAACCACCAUAUUGUCUCACUGCUAUUACUGCACAAACAAAACCAAGUUUUGCUUCUUCAUAACCAAAUUGGGUGCUAGACACAGGUCACAUGAUAGUAGAUUUGGAUAACUUGACUCUGGUGGCCCCUUUUGAAGGAAAUGAACGAAUUACAGUGGGUAAUGGUUAAGGACUUCCGGUUGCUUGGGUUCCAUUUUCACUCCUUCGAAACUAUUAACUUUGCAAAUGGUUUUACAUGUUCCUAAAUUCGUUGCUAGUCUAUUAUUUGUUGAUAGACUGUGUAAAGAUAACCAUUGUUAUGUUAUUCUUGAUGAGUUUGGUUUUUGGGUGCAGGACAAGGCAACAAAGAAAAUCAUCGAAAGAGGAAGGAGUAGUAGUAGUGGCUUGUAUUACAUCCCUCAGCAACAUUUUUUCCAGUAUUCUCAGCUUUUGGACACUCCACCACAUGCUUUUUUAGGGAAGCUUGUGAAGUCUUCUAUUUGGCAUCAUCGACUUGUUCUAUAACCACGAGUUCAGCUAUUUCAUCUGUACUUGAUUCCACUUUGCAAAAGUUAUCUCAUACCAUAGUGUCUGUUGUUUUACCAAGGCAUUUGAAUGAGUUUGAGGAACAAUUAUCAAAUAUGGGAGUGCCAUCUUUGUCUUCUCAAAGUUCCAGUGUAUCUGCCAGUUUAGAUAGCAUCUCAGCACAAGUUACUACUCCUACUACUACUCUACUAGCAACUUCUUCUUCCUCUCAAGUGUUGCUUAUCCAUACUCAGACCCCAACUCAAGUAUCUUUUUCUUUUCCUGAGCCAUGAUAGGAGCAUAUUUAUGCAACUUAGUUAGCUUGUCUCUUGGUAUUUACUUAGUUUAAUUCUAGUUAUUUUAGUACUUUAAGCUAUUUUCGUGUGUUUGUAGGUUCAAAUAACAAAGUUACCAACAAAGUGCUAUUUGGAGCCUUUUGGAGCCUUUUUGGGCCAAGAUUGGAUAGUGCAAGCAUGGAGACAUAAGGAUGGAUGUUUUUGAAGAUUUGAAGGCUAAAAAUCAGCAUGUGUGUGUGCAAGUGUGUUGACCUACAACUCCAAACAUCCAUCAAUUACACCCAUUACAUCCACUCAUUACCAAACACUCAUCCACUACACCCAUUACAUCCACUCAUUACCAAACAUCCAUCCACUACACCCAUUACAUCCACUCAUUACCAAACACUCGUCCACUACACCCAUUACAUCUACUCAUUACCAAACAUCCAUCCACUACACCCAUUACAUCCACUCAUUACCAAACACUCACCCACUACACUUAUUACCAAACACUACACAUUACCCACUACACCCAUUACAUCCACUCAUUACCAAACACUACUCAUUACCAAACACUCGUCCACUACACCCAUUACAUCCACUCAUUACCAAACAUCCACCCACUACAACCAUUUCAUUACCAAACAUCCACCCACUACAACGAUUACAUCCACUCAUUACCAAACAUCCACCCACUACAACCAUUACAUCCACUCAUUACCAAACAUUCAUCCACCACACCCAUUACAUCCACUCAUUACCACAACACUUAUCACUACCACCUUAAUUAGACGGUGGUCCUCCCUAGCCUAUAAAUACAUCCACCCUUCACCAUAACAAUGGGGAAGAAAACGAGAGAGAACACAAUCCACCCAUCCACCCUUCACCAUAACUCACCUAUAUCCAUCCACCACCAUAAUUUACCACUCAUCCAUCAAACCACACCUUGUGCCACAAAAAAGAGAAAAAGGAGGACCCUUGGACGUGUUUGCCAUUCAAGUUGGAUUGUUGAAGCGUUUUUAGGUGUUUUCUUUCUUUUGUUUUCAAUGUGUAAAUUUGUUUAUCUUUGCUUUGUAAGUAUGAGGAACUAAACCCCCCCCUUAGCUAGGGGGAAUUCGAAACCAUGUUCAUGCUUGCAAUAUGAUUUGAUUACCUUCAGUUAUGAUUUCAUAAGUUGUGAAUUCAAUUUGUUUAACUGCUUGAUUGAUAACUUAUUCGUGUAUGUUUAUUAAGAGUGCACACUUAGUUUGCAUGCAUGAAUAUGAUGCUAGAGUAUAAGGGAGUUUCACCUAAUAGUUACAAACUUAUAUUCACAAGUAGUGGAGGUCGCUUAUAAACGAUCGCGUUAAAUAAAUUUUUGGCAGGAGUUUCAUGCUCAUCAUAGUAACGAAUGCCUCGUCAAUACUUAUAGUUUUCAUAAUGCUUAAUGAUCUUUGAUUGUAUCUUUAUUGUGCUUUUCACGUAAAAAACUUUUGAAGAAUGCUUGAAUUGUUGUAUGCGCUUUCCUAUCAAAUUCAAUAACUUAAGGAGAACUUGAAGGUUAAUUUAAGCGGACUUAAUUAACCUGGGGUGUUGAGUUUCAUGAUUGAUCGAAAGAACAACUGAAAAUUGGUUUAUGUGCAAAUAUGUCAUGUGUGGAGAAGAACCUCUUAGCUAGCCUUCCAUCCAUUCAAUUUACUCAAAUUCGUGCAGAUUUCAUUAGUUCUUUAAUUUACUUGUUUUGUUUUCAAAUUCGUCAAAACCAAAACCCCCUUUACUUUAAAGUGUUUUGUUAGUCAAAAUCUGUUUUGAUUUGUGUUUUAGGUGUCCCAAAAGUGUGUUAGAGUCCAAGUCUGCCCAGUUUGUGUUUUUAGGCAGAUUGAGCGUUUUUAGCUUGUUUUGAGUCCUUUGAGUUUGUUUUAAAUUCUUUGAGUCUAGUUUAGUGUUUUUAACUUUGUUUAUAUGUUUUUAAGUCAGUUUAGAGGUUUUAGUAAGCCUUCCUAAUCCCCGGUUUAGAACGAUCCCUACUUGCAUUUAUACUACAAUUUGACAACAAAAGGGUUUAAUUUGUGUGUUAAGUUAAAAUUCGCAUCAAGCCAUCUCAUACAUCUACAGAGUUUGAUACUCAAAUUACUCAUUCAAAUCAUGAACAUGAUGUGUCUAACACUGUUGUGCCUAGUAAUGUAGUAGUUGUUUCUUCUGAUCAUAAUAUGGUUACAAGGUUGAAAAGUAGUGCAAUCCAAAGAAGGAACUAUGCAGCUUAUCAUGCAUCUUUAUCUGAUAAUGAGUUUACCCUUCUUUCACAUACUGAUGAUGUAGUCUUUUGUGGUUUUACUUCUGUGUUGGAUACUCAUGAUUCUUCUGAGCCUUCUCAUUAUAAAAAGGCAGUUCUAUCUCAGCACUGGCGCAAUGCUAUGACAGAAGAAUUUAAUGCUCUUCACAAACAAGUUACUUGGGAGUUGGUACCUUAUCCAAAAAAUAAAAAUGUCAUAGGUAGCAAAUGGGUGUAUAAAAUCAAGAAAGAUCAAGAUGGCAAGAUAUUGAGGUACAAGGCUCGACUUGUUGCACAAGGAUAUAGUCAAUAACAAGGCUUGGAUUAUGAAGAAACGUUUAGCCCGGUUGUUCGACAUACUACAGUUAGGCUUGUUUUAUCUCUUGCUACUAUGCAUAAGUGGGACUUAAGGCAAUUAGACGUGAAAUAUGCAUUUUUACAUGGUGAAUUACAAGAAGAGGUGUUUAUGAAACUAACUCAAGGGUUUCAAGAUCCUUUAUAUCCUAACCAUGUUUGCAAACUUCUCAAAUCUUUGUAUGGUUUAAAACAGGCACCACGAGCCUGGAAUGCAAAGUUUACCAGUUAUCUUCCUACUUUGAAGUUUCAGUCUUCUCACUCUGAUCUGAGCUUGUUUGUGAAAUUCUGUGAUGGUGAUGUAGUAAUUCUUCUUUUAUAUGUCGACGACAUUAUUAUUACAGCAAGCAAUUGAUGAUUUGGCCUCUGUAUUUGACAUGAAGGACAUGGGCAAACUCACUUAUUUUCUGGGACUUCAAGUUACCUACAGAGAAAAUGGGGAUAUUUUUCUUAGGCAGUCAAAGUAUGUCAUUGAUCUUCUUAAUAAGGCAGGUAUGGUGCAUUGUAGGCCUUGCUCCACUCCUAGUAAACCUCAUACACAGUUAUUGAAGGAUGAAGGAGAAUCAUUGUCUGAUCCCACAGUUUAUAGAAGUUUGGUUUGUGCAUUGCAAUAUUUGACCUUUACUAGGCUAGAUAUUGCAUAUGCAGUCAAUUAUGCUUGUCAAUUCAUGAAUAACCCAAUAGAAGAUCAUUUCUGUUUGGUGAAGCUGUGCAUACUUAGGUAUUUGAAGGGUACUUUGACCUGUGGCAUUACUUAUUCAGCUACUGGAAAAUUGGAGUUGCUUGCCUAUAGUAAUGCUGACGCAGCUGAUAUCAAUACUAGACGAUCAACAACUAGAUAUGUUGUUUUCCUAGGAUCUAAUCUCAUUUCUUGGCAGUCAAAGAAGCAAGGCAAUGUGUCUAGGAGUUCAACAGAGGCUGAAUAUAAAGCAUUGGUUAAUGCAACAGCUGACAUUGCUUGGAUUCGACUGGUUCUUAAUGAUCUUCAUAUGUUUCUUCCUUGUGCUCCUGUGUUGCAUUGUGAUAUUCUGUCUACAUUAACUUUGUGUUCUAAUCCAGUCUUUCACACUCGGAUUAAACACUUAGACACUGAUUUUCAUUUUCUUCGUGAAAGAGUACAAAAAGGGGAUAUGGAGGUUCAGUACAUUCUUAUAGAUGCUCAGAUUGCAGAUGUCUUAACAAAAGGAUUACACAAUCCUUUGUUUGUUCGUCAUUGUUCCAAUCUCAGACUGGGUUAUCCCAGCUGAGAUUGAGGGGGAGUAUUAACAAAAGACACUUCAACAUUUGAUUAACUUAGUGGUUAAGUUUUAUCUAAAUACUAUGAUUUUAAAGUCUUUAAAUAUAGUCUUUAAAAUCACAGCUGUUAUCCAAAUAUAUAUAGUCUUUAAAAUCAUAGUUGUUAUAUUUAGAAUCAUGUUUAGCCUCCCUCUCGGUUGGAGAUGUUUUUUGUCACAUGGCUAUGUUUGGCCUAUGGUCAUUUGGCCCCUUCGGUUGGAGAUUGUAUGAAAUAUGGUAUGGCACUGUUCAUUAAAAUAUAAUUUCUUAGAGGGCUAUAGUGUUAAAAAGAGUCAUCUGGCCUUCUUUCGGUUGAAGAUGGCCUCAGUCUUUCUACUUGGGCAUUUUCUAUUAUAUGGAAUUAAUUUGAAAAAAAAAAAAACAUAAAUGCAUCCUUCGUGUUUCAAAUUGAAAACAAUUCACAAAAACCAGUUUUUUUCCCCACUAAGCAAGCAGUUUUUUUUUUUUUUUUUUGUUAUUUAUCUUACUUUUAUAGUGUGUGUGUAUAUAUAUAUAUAUAUAUCCAAAUAGAUACAUAAAAGAAAUUUGGGGCUAGUAAAUCAGAGGUCCUAGGCAGUCGCCUUACUCAGCUUCCCUCAAGGCUAGCCCUAUGUCACUAUAAGAGCAUUUCCAACUGUUGCUUAUAAGCAAGGGCAAAGGCAAUGCAAUUGCCCAAAACACCUCCAACAGGACAAUAAAAGAAAUAAAGGCAAGUGGUGGACCAAGCCAUGCUAGCCCAAAUGCCCAUGUAAGUUAAGCAUUGCCUUCCUCAACAGGCAUGGCUGACUCAGCCACGGUCUUUACGUUUUUUCCAAUUUGUAACACAUGUCCAAAAUCAGGGUGUGAGCCAACAAAACCUGCAAUAGUAGGCCUUGUUGCAACACUAAUUGAAGAGCCUAACGGCUCUAUGACGUGGCACGAUGAGAGCCGUUGGAUUUCCAACAACCUGAUGAUCUGGACUAUUGGAUUUUCAAUGGUAAAGAAUUUAAAAAGUUAUCGAUGCACCAUGUUGCACGUUCUAGUGCGUCAGAUUCAACAAUAAAAAAAAUCAAACGGUCAGGAGUAAUUUGAUUGUUAAAAAUGGAAGGAAAAAAAGAAGAAGAUGGCGAUGCAACAAAUACGGAAGAAGAUUCAUACACAAUUUGUCGAGCUGAUUCAACGCAUAUCCAGGUCUGAGCUAUCUCUAUUGAGUAUAUGCAAACAUCUAAGUAAGUCAACAUAGAGAGUUAAAAUCUGGGCAAGAAGCCCUCACAAAAGCAUAAUCUAUUUAUCAAAAUGGCAAUAAUAUAGCCAAUAAGGUAAUAACAUUUUAUUAUUAAUAAAUUUCAAAUGUGAUUAACAUGUUAUUAUUUGGACCAUCAGGUAAUUAAAAGUAAUCAUUGAUUAUGUAAUUUAUAAUGUUGUUUCAUAAUUCUUUGCUUUGCAUUUGAAAUUAAAUUAUUAGAGUUAAACAUGGAGUUUUACUUUCAAAGAACAAACUUACAAAGUGCACACUUAAACACUUACAAGGCAUAUAUAAAUAAAUAAUAUAUAUUUGUGAAUAAUAAUCGCCCUUAUCUGCGACAACUCGUCCUUAAUUUUAAGUUUUAUAAAUUUUAAAAUAGUGAUUUUAUGAAAAUGCCCUUAGAGGCAAGGAUGUUUGACUUUCGUUGACCAUUCGAAGUCACAAUUAAUGUUUCCGAAUAGAUUUUGAAGCUACGAACGCAUAGGCAAAAGCCGUUUGCGAGUUCGGAUUAUAACAGUAUAGUUACGGACAUUUGAAGUCGUUUCAUUAAACAAUAGAUUUAAAGGAAUAUAAACUCCCACCUUGUGGGAAAGAGGCCAUUCAGGCUAAAGGGAAGGAACCAAUCAGUUAAAUGGUGGAGGACCAAUCAGAAUUUAGGGGGGAGUGAGCAACCAAUCAAAGAGAAGGAGGAAAAAAAAGAAAAGAAAUGAAGCUUUCCUUCUCGACGACUUGUGCACCUGCACAGGGCUCAACCAAUUCCGCCAACUUUCGCCAUUUUCCCCAUCAAACCGCCAUCAUCCAACACCUGCAAUCCUUUCCACAACCUCCCCUCUACCAUCUCCACCCAAAUUCGAAGGUUUUUAAGUCCAAAACCGUGUAGAACCUCACCGGAGCACCGGAGGUGCUUGACGGUGAUUCCUCCGAUCCAGUGAGUUUCACCACCCACCACUACCCUUAAUCAACUCCCCUUAGACCCAGGAAUAAGAUCCAACCAGUGAUAGGGGCGUUGGAACACCGGCAAAGUCGAAUCGAUGAACACCUAUUAUAGGGUUUCAGACGGGUUCGUGGCGAUUUGAGGUUUUUUCGGCCAAAUUGGACUUGGCCACAUAUAUAAAACUUGCUCUACUCAUUGAGAUCUUCAUUUAAUUGAAAUUUGAGAAUUUUUAGAAAUAGUUUAUUUUUCCGGCGAGUUGGGACGGUCGACUGUCGUUUGCAGCGGCAUGUGGGCCGAGGCACCCCCUAACCUUCCUAAGCUAAGUUUGAUACCCCAAUUCCAUAUGUGAAGUCAGAUUGAUGAAAUCUCAUCGUUUGAACAUAGUUUUGAUAGAGACCGCUACUUGAUCCUUGUAUGAAUUGACGAACCGACCGUUGGAUCAUCACCAAAAUUUAAUAUAUUAUAGUAUGUAAUAUUUUAGGAUAUUAGAAACUUACGGAUUGGGAAUCCAACUUAUGGAUCUUCCUAAAAUGGAUUUGUAAGUUCGUAAAAUAAAACGUUGACCGCCACUUGAAUUUGCAAUUGGUGGAGAUCCAACCAUUGGAUCGUAAUGAAACUUUAGUAUGAUGUUCUAGAAGCAUAAUGUGGAUCUUUUGAAGUUACGGAUCAAAAAUCUAAGUUGCGGAUCUUCCGGAUUGAGUUACGUAGGAUUAUGGACCCUACCGCCAACCUUUGACCGAUGAUUGAAUUUUGGUCAAUGGGUUUCAAAUCAUUCUAGAACGUCCUUAGGGGAUGUGUUUUAUGUAAGUUACGUGUUCUAUCGAUAAGAAUUCUAAGACGUUAUUUGAUAUUUAUUCUAGGCGACGAUUGUUCGUGAUGCCUCGAUAUUCGUGCUAGGGAGUUGUAGCCCGGACCUCAGGUGAGUGGGUCUUUUUCUUUUUAUAGUGUAUAGAUAGAUAUAUAUAUAUAUACACACACACACACACACACAUAUAUAUAUAUAUGGUUGAUAGUUUCCACAAAUGAUUUUGAAUUGAUUUAUGCAUAUCAUGCUAUGAUUAAAUAUUGUUAUUAAAAACUUUGCAUUGUUAUGAAAUUGUGAAAUGCCAAACGAUCCUACGGGAUGCGCAGGUUUGAUCAGGUGAGUUUAAUUUGUGAUUGGAAUUGUUGCACCAUAUUGGCAUGCAUAAAUUCAUUUAGUGCUCAUCAUUGUUGCACCCCAGUGUUAGUCAUCCUGUCCUGGGCCAGGGCACAGCCUUCACGUGUAUGUUCACCUCCCGCAUCGCACACUUACCUUGGAUCCAAGUAGGUGCUAGCCUAUCGUAUAGACUCGAUUAGGCAGUUUGAUGCGAAAAUUAACUUAACACACAAAUUAAACCCUCUUGUUGUCAAAUUGUAGUAAUAAUGCAAGUAUGGAUCGUUCUAAACCGAGGAUUAUGAGGGCUUGCUAAAACCUCUAAACUAACUCAAAAACAUAAAAACAAAGUUAAAAACAUUUGAAUAGACUUAAAGAACUCAAAACAGGUUCACAAGACUCAAAAUAAUUUAAAGACACUCGAAACUGCCUAAAAACACAAACUAGGCAGUUUCUGACUCUAACACAACUUUGGACGAAAUUUGGGUUUUGACUUGACUCAGAACACUCUAAAACACAAACAAAACAUAUUUUAAACACUUUGAAACAAGAAAGUAAAAGGGGGAUUUAGUUUUGAUGAAUUUGAAACAAAUAAACAAGUUAUAAAACUAGGCAGAUUGUAAAACGAAUUUAAGAAAUAAGAUAAUGGAUGGAUUAGUUAGAGGUCCGUUCUUCACACAUGACACACUUGUAUAUGAAUUGAUUUCCAAUUGCUUUUCAAUAAACUAUGAUGCUCAACACCCCAGAUUAAUUAGAUACGCUUAAAUUAAUCCUCAGAUUUUCCUAAUUUCAUUGAAUUGGAUGAUUGCAUACAACAACCCAAAGCAUUCCCCACAAGUUCCCUACAUGAAUUGCAUAAUAGAGAUACAAGCAAGAAUCAUUAAGUUCUAUGAAAAUCAUAAGCAUUGACGAAACACUUGUAACUAUGAAUUGCAUGAAACUUAUGCCAAGAAUUCAAUUAACGCGAUUGUGAUAAACAACCUUCACUACUCAUGAAUAUAAACUUGUAACGAUUAGGUGAAACUCAUUUAUAUUCUAGCAUCUAAUUCAUGCAUGAAAACUAAGUAUGCAUGAAAACUAAGUAUGCAUCCUUAAAUAACAUACAAGAAUCAGUUAUGAAUAAAAUAGAUAAUUGAAUUGCAAUCACAACUUAUCAAAUCACAAUUGGAAGAAAUCAAUUUAAAUCUCAAGCAUGUUCAUGGCUUCAAACUUCCCCCUAACUAAAUAGUGGUUUAGCCACUCAUAAUUGCAACAAAAUUAGAAAAUAACAAAGUAGACAUUGAAAGCAAGAACGAAGUACACCUAAAACGCUCCAAAGUUCCAAGCUUGAAACGCCAAGGGCCUUUGUUUUCACCACCUUGUUGUAGCAUAAGUGUCUAGGAUGUGUAUGGAUAUAUGGAUAGAAUGGAUUUGCAUGACAUAGAAAAUGGAAAUGUAUGGAGAUGUGUUUGAAUGUAUGGAUGAAAUGGAAUGGAGCUCAAGGCAAGGGACUUGUGUUUGUGAAUGAAGCUCUUUUGAUGGAUCAAGAUUGUCGUUCUUUGGAAGGGGGGUGGUGGAUGUAUUUAUAGGCUAGGGAGAGGACCACUCCAUUUCCUUUGCAUGUGCAGAUUGCAUGGGUGUGUGCUGUCCAUGUUUCUCCUUUCCUUUUCCACCCAUUUUCUGAACCUUUCAGUGUUACAAUGCCCAUAACCUCUUCUAGAAAAAUGAUAUUAACAAUCCGUAAAUUGUUCUAGAAAAUAGACAUCCGUAGCUUUCCAGGCAUAUAAGGCUCAUUCUCUCAUUCAUUAUACGAUGUUCGUAACAUGCUUUCAAAGUCAGCUAAUCUGCACAGGCAGUUUUGACGAAUUUGUUGGCUGUCCAUGUUUCUCCUUUCCUUUGCAUGUGGUUGUGUCUUCUCUUUCUAGCUGUGCAUUUCCACUUGAUCCAAAGCCAAAUGAGUGCAAUCAUAACCCCAUUUGCUGCUGAGUGUUGAUGACAAAGCAAAACACAAAACAAGUGCCUUUACUUUCUCAUUUUAUUAGCCAAAUCCGCUUAGCCCUUUUCUAAACCUUUAAGUGUUACAAUGCCCAUAACUUCUUCUAGAAAAAUGAUAUUAACAAUCCGUAAAUUUCUCCAGAAAAUAGACAUCCGUAGCUUUCCAGCCAUAUAAGGAUCAUUUUCUCAUUCAUUAUGAGAUGUUCGUAACAUGCUUCCAAAGUCAGCUAAUCUGCACAGGCAGUUUUGACGAAUUUGUUGGUUGUCCAUGUUUCUUCUUUCCUUUUGCACACACAUGCUUCAUCAUUUCAGCCAAAUCAACACAUGUUCUCCAUCACAUGGCAGCUAUGAUGUUUGUUAGUUGUAGGUCACACACUUGCACACACAUAUGUUGAAUUCUAAUCUUCCCAAAACGUCCAUCCUCAUGUCUCCAAGUGCAUGCAAUCCAUUUCAGCCCAAAAUUGCUCCAAAAUGCACCAAAAUGCACUUUUCUUGCCAACUUUGUUAUUAGGACCUAACAACAUACGAAAAUGGCUUAAAACACUCUUAUAAGCAAUAACUAACUAAGUAAGUGCAAGAAAACAUGUUAACUAAGUCGCAUAAAUAUGCUCCUAUCACAGUUCCGACUCAUAGAUGACCCACGAUUUAUCGCUAGCCAUCACGUGAUCAUAGGACUAAAGCGUAUAUAUUUACACCCAGCUUGUCGUACAGGUCACACUAGGUGACUCCGACUCGUGUGCUAGCAUAGACUGAUGAGCAAUAGGUCCAUUCAUACAUGUCACAUUAGGUGACUCCAACUGGCACGCUAGUUGAUUAUUCACACCUGACUUACAUUUAUUUUUAUUGAGAUAUUGUGACAUGGCAUGCUUUUGUUGUCACUGCUUUUAUGCAUUGGUUCUUUAUGUUUACGUAGUGUUAUUUUCUGGAAACUAUACAUGUUUUACGGCAAGGGGUUAUAAUGUUUUCAUUGAAACUUUAUUUUUAGGCCCACUCAUCCUUGUUUUUCAUCCCUCCAGGUUUUAGCAGCAGAACUUUGUAUCGACGAGGAUUCUUGGCAAUUCUCAAUAUAGGUGGCUACCUUUGAGGGUAUAAUCAUUAUCCUAUCUUACUGUAUUUCACUUAUGCUCUGACAUCACGUGUGAAAUGGGUUCAUUCUCGCUCAUCGCGCACUCUUGUAUUUAGGCACUUUUAGGUUUAAAUUUAUUCACAUUUUCCAUCACACUACACUUUAUAACUUCGUCACCUUCCAGGUGUCGGCCAGCACAACAUGAUUUGGAGUCCAAGUAGACAUUCCGGAUCGAGGUGUGUCAUUAUCCUUGUUGAUCUAGUGGAGUUACACAAUGACAAUUACUUUCCAAAAGGGCAAUUGCCUUACUCCAACGAGUGUAACUGCUCUAAAGUAUCUCAUUUAGCAUAAAGAAUUAUGAGUAAAUGGGCUUAAACUUUGGUGCUCUCAAGUAGUCCAAAGUCUCAAUUAAAGAGCUUUUCAUAGGGUUUAUAGAGAUUGGCAACCUUCCACAAAUCAACUCCUCUUAAAUCGUAUGUAUUGGUUCCAUAUGAACUUGGUUGGUGUAAGGUUUAAACAAACGUUUUCGAAUGAUUCAUGUCUAUGUAGCCAUUUGCAAUUCACCUCAAUCAUUUAAUCAUUUCAAAUUCCUCUAUUUAAUAUUGCACAAUGCAUUUCUAACUAAAGUAGCCUAAAUUCAUUGGUAUUUGAUAACCUUCAUUCAAAUACAAUAAUAAAUCUAGUAUUGUCUCUAGCAUUGGUUUUAGCCUUCGGGUCUUUCACGUGAGAAGCAGUUAUAUGAGACGGGUUCAUCAUUACAUGAUUUUUUUUUAUCUAAUAAUGUGUUGUUAUGUAAAAGUUUUUCUUUACAUGGCAACAUAUUAUUAUAUUGAGACAUCAUGUCAUGUAACAGUAAACUCAUUUCAUAUAAAUUGCUCAUUUUUUUUACUCCAUUAUCCUUUUUCGCUUGGGCACCAUAAAGAAGUCAUCCAAUGAUCGAUGAUCAUAAAAAUUAAUAAAAAGAUAAUCUUUAGAAUUAAAGUGGAAUUUGAAAUGGAAUCAAAUUUGAAUUGAGAUCCAAACCUUCGUAUUAAACUAGAACAAGUUCACUAAAUAAAGGUGAGGCCAACCACCAACCAAUAUUUAUACAAAAAUAAUCGCAUUCCACUCCGACCCUACCGAAUUCUUCAGGCCAUUAACCACCAUUGAAUAAACAGUACAGAAAAUCAUAAAGUAAUUAUGCUCUUAAACCGAAAAGAAAUCGAGAGUAAUUAAUAAUUAGUGCCAAGAUAUCAUUAAUAUUAUUUUUAAGGAUUCGGACGCGUAUAGUGAUAUAUUCUAUCAUUACGUCUCUCAGAUUCCGCAUCGAUUGGUGCGAGAUAUUCUAUCGUCAAUGUUUCUCGGACACUUUCUUGUUAAACCCAUUUACUACAACUAGGGAUUAAAUUUUUUGCCAAAUUACCAACCAUAUUAUACUAAAGUUCUGUAAAAAAAUUUGUAUCAUUGGUAAUGAUACGAUAUUUGUAUCGUACCAUACAUUUUUGGAAGAUAAUAGUAUUCAAAAUCAUUACCAAUUAUAUACCAUACUGUAACACUACUAUUAAUAUUAUAUAAUUUAUUUAUUCAUUUAUAUAUAUUUACGUAUUAUUAUAAUUAUAUAUGCACUUUAUAUUUUUUUUCCUAGUCAUUUAUCCAAUCAUCUCACAUUCUAACCUCUACUUUCCCAAUAAAAAAACAUAAGCCUUCUUACGCUGCGACUCUUCAUCUUUUCACUCAUCUAGCCACCGACUUCAUCUAUGUUGCUCUAGUUUCGGCGACUGUCUCUCCGGAGUCCACCUCAUCUUCUCCUUUAUCAAAUUGGGAUGUCUUUCUCCCUGGCUUUGUCUAUCAAGUUAAUUUUUGUUUAAUUUUAAAGAAUGUAAAGAUGAAAUUUAAGAAUCUUUGUACUAUUUUUUUAGGGAUAUUGGGUUCUUUGAGCAAUUCUUCCAUCUGUUUACUUCUUUGUUUCUUUAAUGAAUCUUUAUAAAAUUCUCAUAAUUAAAUAAAAAAGUUUUAGAAACCCAAAAGGAGUGACCCAAACACGUUUGGGCCUUGAAUUGGGUUGGAAAAAAAAUCAAAUUUUGGCCCAAAAGAAUGACCCAAAACAAAGUGGUAAUUACCAUUACCAUAUCAUGUCAACCGAACUAUUUGGCAUGCCGAAAUUUGGUAUAUCGAAAGUUUGGCACAGUAAUGAUAAUAGAUUUUAUCAUACCAAAAGUUUGGUACGGUAAUUGAUACAUGGGUUUUGGUACGAUAAUUGUACCAAUACCACCCCUAACUACAACUAUCCAAUCAAAGACUAAUCCCGUUUCAUGAGAGAAUUAUGACUAAUAUCAAUUUCACGAGAAAUUUUUCAAGGUGACAGGAACCCACAUAACCAUGGACACUUUAUGUAUCCAUUUAAUCGGAGGAUGUCACAUGCCUAACCGAAGAAUCUACCUAAUUUAUUUUUAAUGAAAUUACGCUGUCUGUUCUAUUAAUAAAUCCACAAGGUUUAUCUUUUAAAAUGUUAAUUAAAUUAGAACUAAAACAGAAAAAUAAAAAUAAAAAUCUCCAAUCCAAAUAACCCCGUCCCCGGCGAGACACACCACCCCCGAUCCCACCACCACCACCUCUGAUCCCGUUCAAAUCUGGUACCGCCACCACCUCCCUCUCUUGCUCUUCCUCAUAGACGAACAAUAACAGGCACAGUGGCAGACGUCGACGCUAUUCUACCCCUCCCCGAACCCAUGCGGACCAUCUUCCUCAUUGUCAUCUUCAUCAGCAUGAUUUUCAAGUUUUUCUUUGACGUGCUAUCUUUGCUUCUUGUUGGGUUUUUUUGUAAGAUGUAAUCUGAAAAUCAACAAGUUACUAGGAUUACAGAUAUAACAAAUAUAACUACAAUAAAUCAAUCAAACAAUUAAAGGGAAAUAAACUUAUCUUCCAAAGCAGAGGAAGAAGACGCUAUGACUGCUAGGGUUUCAUAGGUUGUCUUCUACUUCCAGUACUUCAAAAUGUCUCUCUACCGUGAAUAGGGUUUGGCAUGAUUGAGAGUACAAGCAUAUGGAAGCAGGAACUUAACUGUGGUAUUUAUAUCAUUAGGGUUUUCAUCACAUCCGACCUAUCAUUGGCUAUGAAGAUCUACCCUAUCUCUCUAGUAUUUAAGUCCCACCAUGAUACGAUACCUUUGUAAUAAAUCUAUCAGAUUUCCUCUAGGUUAAUUGCAAGGGACAAGACUCCAUAAUCCUUAUUAGGUUAGGACUAUCGGAUCACUUUGGUUGCUAACCACUCGAUAGACAAUUGGCUUACAACAAAAAGAUCCAAUACAACAUUCAUUGUCAUUCACAAUCUUAUAUUCUCCCACUUGAAUGUCAAUAAUUCAUCCUAACAAAAUAAGAACUCAUUGUGAUCACUGAGUCUUCAUAAGUAUGCAAUAACCUUUCCUAGCAACCUGUCACUUUGAAUCGAAUGCCGAACCAAAGAAAAACAAAGAACAACUUGGUCUGUUCCUUGCACUCCAAGAUCACAUACACAUUCAACUUAAAGCACUUUGUUGCUAACAAAGUCAUGGUGUCAAGAGCUAAUAGUCAAAACAUUAGCUCACAAUAGUCAAACUGAAAAUAUGAAAAUAUAUUUCAGUACAAAAGUAGUUCACAAAAGAACUCAACAACGUUGGUAACAACAUCCAACUUCUCUGUCAAUUUAGAAUAUGAUAAGAGAACAAGUAAAAUAUGACAUACUAUUUACAAAAUCAGAACCUCUUAUUAAAACUUAUGAACAAAACUUAAACAAAAUUUACUCUUAAAAUAUCAGCCACUAACACUUCAAAAUUUUAACACAAAAGGUAAUCUCUUACUCCCACUGAUUAGUAGAGAUAAACAAAUUAUUACUCCCACUGAUUAAGAGAGUAAAAAAAACUUUAUAAAUGCCUAUAAAAUGAAACUGACACCUUUCAAAUACUCCCAUUAGCAAAACAUUAGUCAUGGGAUCUAAAACAUAAAAUUUGUGAGCUCAACAUCUUUAUUUUAGAUAUUUGUAGGGAAGUGAUUCUCGUGACUGAAAAACUAUACAAAAUUAUUUGGUCAGUUUUGUUCAUCUAACAAUUGACAGAAAUAGAAAACUUUAACUGAAUGUUUUCUAAUGCAUCAAAAGCAUAUAAUUCUAGAAUCAUCUUUGGAUAGAAACUAAUUAUAUUAGGUUUGUAUAGCUAAAACAUAAAAUACAAGGGCAAAUGUAUAUAGCUUCAACACUUUUGAGCAGAUGAAGUAUAUGCAAUCUUGUCAAUUUCAUGUUUCACCAUACAUUGAUUUAUAGUUGUACUGAAAAAGAAAACACUUUUGAGCAGAUUAAUUAUUCAUCAAUAACAUAUAAAUCACAAGUCCAAUUUCUUGAACAACAUACAAGAAUUAAUAAGCAAAACACUUUUGAGCAGAAUAUACUCAUUAACCCUUCUUGAAUUUCCUACAAGAUUAGUUGCAUAUAUAACAAAUAAAAUAUAAAUAAGUAUGAUAAUGUACGUUUUAUCUACCAAAACUAUGACCAUUAAAAGCAUGCAAAAUUGAUGAGUGUGAAGCCCAUAAUACAUUAUUUCUCCCACUUGGGCAAACACUCAAAAUUGCAAGAUUAAACACUAGAGAAAGUGAUUUUCAUUUAACAAAAUAUAUGCAAGUUGAAUCAAUCAAGAUCAAAUACAUAAUUUUUUUUUUUAAAGUAGGUUAGAAUUAAAAAGUUCCAUAAAUAAAAACUUAUGCAAUGACUACAAAUUUUAUUUUAUUUUAGUGUAUGAGAGAAGACUCACAUAUGUGUUAAAGAUUAGGUCAUCAAUUAAAAUGAAACCUAAUAAGAGAAUCUGUUGAUGCACAAAUAUCAGCGAGGACUUUGGUACAACAGAAAGUGUCAGGUUGUGACCUUCGCUUGGUUGCUUCGAUCACUUUUGAAGAUAAGUACGUAAAUGAAUAGGGACAGGGAAGCAAACACAAGAUGUACGUGGUUCACCCAGAUCGGCUACGUCCACGGAGUAGAGGAGUUCUCAUCUACGAUGCAUGGACACGGGGAAAACUCAACGUAUCCCGUAUCUGACACGCAGGGAUACGGAUACGUACAAAAUACGUAUGGAUACGCGCCCGAUACGUAUCGGAACGAAGGUAUACGUUCUUUAUUACCAAGAUACGCGUAUCAUAUUGUCGAGAUACGCGUAUCAUAUUUUUCGGAUACGUUUCAAGCAAAAUCAGAGGAUAAUCAGAAAAAAAAUCCAAUAGAUCCGCACAGAAUCGUGAUUGAUUCGAAUUAGAUAACUUAAACGAUUGUUUAACUAAAAACCAAAACGAUUUCGAACCUCAGAAAUCAGACUCAUCUGCAAUUGCUCCGUCCGUCCGUCGUCUCUAUCGUCUCCGUCUGCAACUGCUCCAUCGUCUCCAUCGUCUCCGUCUGCAACUCCUGGUGAGAGCCUUCGACUUUGUUUUCACUUUGUUAAUUUUGAAGCUCAAUCUGAUUGCAGAACCCCUCUGAAAUUGAAAGAAACAUGCUGCUCUGUUUUUAUUCGAAGCUAAAAGCCCCAUUUCUGCUUUAAGCCAUUGACUAAUUCAAUGUAUCUGUUAUGCAAAAUUGAAAAAGCCAAAACCCAAUUUUGCUUUCUGUAUAAUAUAUUAUUUUGAUCUUCGAAGAUCAAUCAAUGGGGUCAGAUGGUGUGCAAUCAGUAAUCACUUAUCUGUUAUACAAAAUAAUAUUAUAUACAAAAUACUCGUGCCCACUUUUGCUUUCUGUAUAUAAUAUUAUUUUGUAUUUUGUAUAUUAUAAAUAAUAUACUAUUGUGCUUUCAUGAUAUUUAGAUUAUAAUAUUUUAUGGAUUUCAUGAUGUAUUUUUUAAUCUCUUAAGUUAAUAUAAAUUUCUCGUGUAAUAGUCUCUGUCUAUACAGUGGAUUGACUCUUAUUGUUUAUAUAUUUGAUUCUUACAAUUUACAUGUUGAUAAUUUAGGAAAAUGAAUCAUCCUGAUAAUCAUGCGAAUGCUAAUGUCAACCUAGUUGAGAAUGUUGAAAAUGAUCAUGGUACACUAUGGAAGUAUGUCAAAAAGCUCGAAAGAGUGGAAAAUGGAAGAGGAGGUAGUGUGUUUCAAUGCAACUAUUGUCAAAAGAUUUUCAGAGGAUCUUACUCUAGGGUCAAGUUUCAUUUGUUAAAAGUGUCUGGAAAUGGGAUCGUCUCUUGCAAUAAGGUUACUGAUGAAGCUCUUGCAGAAAUGAAAAAGCUAGCUCAAGAAUGAGGGACUCUUUCUUUUUAUUUUUUAAGUCGUUUGGAUGUUCUUUUUAGUUUUUCAAGUUUGAAGACUAAUUUGUUUAGUGGAUUAUCUUUUAAAUGUUUGAAGUUUAUCGAAAUAAAUUUGAACUUGAAUAGUAUAUUUGAAUGCUUAUUUUAUAAUAUUUAGAUAUAUUUAUUUAUUUAUAUUAUUUUUAAUUGCCGUAUCCUUGCCGUAUCGUGUCUUCAUUUUUAGAAAUUUGACGUAUCCCCGUGUCGUGUCGUAUCGUAUCUCCGUAUCCGUGUCCGUGUCCAUGCAUCAUAGGUUCUCAUUAAUUGUGAAGGGUUUACACAAAUACAUAGGUUCAAGCUCUCAUUUUGUGAGUUCUAGUGAAUAGUUUAGUACAAAAUGACAUUAGAGAUUAUUGUGGGAGAAUGAUCCCUAUUUAUAGAAGAGAGUUUCUAGUUUUGUUCUAACAUUGACACGUGUUGUGUUGUGAUUGGCUUCUGAUGUUGACACAUGUCGAGCUGUGAUUGGCUUCUGAUGUCGACACGUGUCGCAUUGUGAUUGGCCUCCUGGUUGAAGGGAAGCUCUUCUGGUCCUUGACGGUAUAACGUUGACCGGUGCUCAGUAGUUUCGGGAUUGGUCAAGUAUGGUACAAACAAAAUCCAAACUCAAAAUUUAUGUUUUAAUUCUAAAACAAAGUCGAGUAAAAUAAACACUUAGAUAUCUCAACAACAACAAUUUUUUUUUUUUAAUAAUUUUAAUCCAAUUUAGAACUCACAGAAAAUUAAGGCAAAAGAUUGGCAAAUUUACCUACUCAUUCUUGAUUCUGCGAGAUUCAUCAUGGAAUUAGUCGAGUUGUGGAGGAUCGAACCAACUCCAAAUUGCAUGAUUGUUACACCUUCGGGCAGAAACUAAUCAUGCAAAGAAAAUACCUGCAUAGCUAGCCAAAACAUAAAAUACACAAAAUACAUAUAGCUUCAACAGCUUUGGCCAGAUGAAAAUAUGUUAGAAGUACUUUAUGAUAUAAUACUAUUUUAUAAUUGGUGAGUGAUUUCCUGAAAUUCCCAUUGGGACAAAAGUAUUCACCAUAUAAAUUAGAAUUCUGAUUUUUCAAAAUAAUCCUUUAGAACAGUAUUAAAUAACCGUUUUGUUGGAUAUUCAAUGAUUCUCAAAAGAUUCAAUCAGACACAAAAGUAUGUCAUUAUUGACAUUGAACAAUAGAGUUCUCGAAAGAGGAAACAUGGUUAUUCAGGUAUUCGAUAGAGACCAAAAUGAUCAAUUAGUAAACUAAUGCCACUUUCCAAUUUUCUCUCAAAAGACAAUCAUCAUAAUCAGAAUUGAUGACCAAACAAAACAUUGGUUUAAGCAAAACAAACCAAUACAUCUUUAAAUCAAAAUUUAAUCAGUGUUGUCUAUAUAAAAUUCAUUAGUAUUGAGAAUUUGCAUAUAAUAAGGACAUAUCGGAACCAUAACCUUGUAUAAUAAUCGGUACCAAUAGAUGUGCACAAAUUAGUGAAACAAUAUCACAUAACAAAACUAGUUUUGAAGUACCAAAAUUCAGCAGUACUACUUUAGUUUGCAAAUUCACUAAAAACUCAAUUCUCUUUAGAUUGUCCUGAAAAUUUUCAAGUAUGAACUAGACAUAUAUGACUACUAUUUCGAAAAAUUUCAUGAUUUUUAAAAUCUUAUAAGUGAGCCAAAAAUGAAUUCGAAAAGAGAGGUGCUACAGCAUUAAUAUGUGUAUUUGAUAUAUCAAAAUCUCCUUUUUAAGAUAAGAAAACAAUUUAAAAAUGACACCAAAAUGGCCACGGCAUUAAUAUGUGUAUUUGAGAAAUUUCCCAAAAGCACUUGAGUCUCAACUUUGCAAUUUUAUGUUUGAAGAUAAAAGUCACAAAGGACAAACGUAGCAAACAUAAAUUGUAAUAUUAUAUAUAUUAUAUUAAACGAAGGAUAAAUUAGACUUAUUAAUCCAACAACUCAUAUUUGAUUUUAGAAAAGAAAGUCUCAACAUUAAUUGGUCCCAACCAUCAGUCAUAGAAGCAUAAGAGAAAAUCAAAAGUUACCAAAUUCUUAUUCCUGAAGAGGGAUGCUUCCAGGCAUAACGAUAGAUGGAAGCGUAAAUCAACUUAAUUAAUAUGUAUGGGAAAGUUAGUUUGCAAAGCAGUUGGACUUUAUAUUCAAAUUAGUUUAACUAAUCAACUAACACACCAAAGUGGCCAUACCAUUAUUCUUGUAAACCAUUACUCAAAAAUAUGCAGCAAACUGGAAUAAAUGAAAUUAAAUGCAAUUGAGGAAAAUCCUCAAAGCCUCAUUCUAGGCAUUAGGAAUGAAGGCCGAGAAAACAUAAAAUGUGAACAUGAUAUAAGAUCACAAUGGCUCACUCAAGUUAUCUCCUAAUGGCAAGUGAUUCACAUUGAAAAAUCUUCGAAAACAACCAAAAUUUUAAACCUGAUCAUUGACACGGUGCGCUAGGAGAAAGAAGCAUGCAAAAUAAUUAUUAACUUAAAAUGGGAUUCCAAAACAAGGAACCCUAACCACUGCCCAGGAGCAACACAAAUGCCAACCAAGCGGAUCAAAACCAAUCUUGAUAUUAAUCAUGUUAAAAAAAAAUAACAAUAGUUAAAUUAUUUAUAUGCAUAUGUGCCAAGCCUUCGAACUUUAAAUCCAAUGCAAAAUUAUAUAUAUAUAUAUAUAUAUUUGAGGUAUAGCCAUAUAUAAAGCAAUCAAAUUUGCUUCUUAAUUAAUCAUUAUCUCGACAUGGCUAAGAAAACUUAUCGUUAAGUUUUCCCAUGAAAGCCAAAACAAAACCUUUUUUUGAUAAUUACAUGAGAAUCAUGAAGUUAGAAAAGUAAUUAUAAAAAUACUCUAAAAUUAAGCGGAAGCCUCAGGAUCGAUAAGUAAAAGACCUUUAACUAAAACACAAACUAAUUGUGCCUUCAGUUUGUCAAAAAUUUGUUCAAACAGAUUACCUUUAAUCCGAACCCUCAAGCUUUGCAAAUUUCUUGGCAGAUUUGUAUCUACAGACAAAAUAAUACAACUACACGCAGAAGUAAUUUCUGCAAAUGGGUCAAAUUAAAAAUAAUAAUAAUAACAUCUAAAUAAUUAUUUGCAAAGCCAAUAUGAUAAUCAAUCCACAUAUUGAAUUAUCAGCAAUUAAAUCAAUGAAUCGUAUUAUUUGCAGAAGCUUUACACAUUGUAAAGGAUAAAAGUGAUGGCAUGAUACGUUACCAUUAUAUUCAAAACCAACCAUGAUCGAAAUUCUGAAUCUUAGACGAGUUGAGUGGCUCUGAUACCACAUGUAAGAUGUAAUAUGAAAAUCAACAAGUUACUAAGAUUACAGAUAUAACAAAUAUACUACAAUAAACCAAUCAAACAAUUAAAGGGAAAUAAACUUAUCUUCCAAAGCAGAGGAAGAAGACGCCAUGACUGCUAGGGUUUCACAGGUUGUCUUCUACUUCCAAUACUUCAAAAUGUCUCUCUACUGUGAAUAGGGUUUGGCGUGAUUGAGAGUACAAGUGUAUGGAAGCAGGGACUUAACCAUGGUAUUUAUAUCAUUAGGGUUUUCAUCACAUCCGACCUAUCAUUGGCUGUACCAAUCUACCCUAUCUCUCUAGUAUUUAAGUCCCACCAUGAUACGAUAUCUUUGUAAUAAAUCUAUCAGAUUUCCUCUAGGUUAAUUGCAAGGGAUAAGACUCCAUAAUCCUUAUUAGGUUAGGACUAUCGGAUCACUUUGGUUGCUAACCACUCGAUAGACUAUUGGCUUACAACAAAAAGAUCCAAUACAACAUUCAUUGUCAUUCACAGUCUUACAUUUUUCUGAUAGGGCAUGAACUUGCAAGGCAGACGAGCACAGGAGUCGACUCAUUGAGUUAAUGGCGGCACGAGUUAGAGAUUGUAGUGGGGAAGACGGAUGAAAUAGAAUUUGGGAGGAGCGGGGAAGACAGAUCGGCCGCCAGGGAGGGGCGCUGUCAUUGUGGGUUGUUGGCUCGACUGUCGAGAUUUCUAUUAUUUAGUUUUAUAUUUUAUUUAAUUGAUUUUCUUAAAAAUUAAAUCAGGUAGACUUUAGUGGGGCACGUGACAUCCUCCGAUUAGAUGGGUAAACAAAGUGUCUAUUGUCACAUACAAGUAUAUGGAUUAUGAUGAUCUCCCAUUCUCUUUCCAUUCCCUUCCAUCAUUCUUUUCAUAUUCUCUAUUUUGUCUUUCUCUUUCUAUAAAAAUAAUAAUAAUAAUAAUAUAAGAUGUUGAUGUGGCUUAACCGUGACCAUUCAAAUAAGAGGGGAGGGUAAAAAAAAGGGAGUAUUUUUGCUCAUCACCAUUUAGUGUGGUAUAUGCUCACCACUUUAUUUAUCACUAUUAGAUGAGUUUGAAUUUCGAAUUGGUGUAGUAGAUAGGUAUAAAUCUCGAAAUUCAAACUUAUCUAAUGGUGAUAAAUAAAGUGGUGAGCAUAAACCACACUAAAUGAUGGUGAGAAAAAAUGCAUUCUAAAAAAAAGAGGGGAGAGAAUCCUUCUCCCAAGUAUAUACCACCAAUGGUGCAAAGGAGAAAGGACAAUGUGAGGAAAGCUAAAAUUUUAAAUUAAAUUUACAAAUUAAAUAAUGUGUAACAAAAAAAAAAAUUAAUGUGCUUGAAACACAAAGUUGUACACCAUGUGUCUCUAACAAGUGGUGAGAUUCUUGUGUUGAAAAAAUAAUAACAUAAAACAUAAAAUUUCCCACCACUUAUAUAAUAACACGUGUACCACUUGCAUUACGGGCAUAAGGAAAAAUUGCUAGUGUCACCAAUAGGUGCACGUUAAUCAAUACUUACAUAAUAAUUUAAUCAUCAACUACAUCGUUUGGUUUAAAAAUUUAGUAUCCUUAACAUUAUCCAAAGAGAAAUGCUAAGAGACUCAAAGGGUGAGAUUCUGCAAUUUCACGGUUUGAUGUUGAUUUGCAUGUCAAUGUAUAAAACAAUGUUGAUCCAAUCACACACAAGUAUAUACCACCAACGGUACAACUAAGGAGAAGUUUCGAACGAUCCCGCUACAUCAGGACCCUUUUAGAGCAUGUUUACGUACACGUAAUGGGAAUCAAAACAUGAAAUUAUAUUCCGAUUACGGACCAUUUCUAUGUUUACUAAAUUUUAAGGAAUCAAAAAUAUAGUGGGACCCACACAAAGUUUGGAAUUCAAUUCCUCACUUUGGAGGAAUUGGAUCCCUUGAUAGUAAGUGGUAUUUGAGUUUCGGAAGAAUGAGGGAAUGGGGAAUCCAUUUUUCAUACCCAUAAUGCCCUCACAUAAUUGCUGAAAUUCCAAUGAUAAAACAAGCACAGGUGCCCAGCGCUAGUCUGUUUCCUUCUCCCUCACUACCGCCCCCUUCCUGUCUUCCCAAGGCCACAUACCCACCAUCAUCUUCUUAGACAACAACGACAGCCAUAAAACAAGAAUAAGCGAAAGCUGAAGAAGAACCCAUUUUAGUUUUUUUUUAUUUUAAACAAUGCUAAAAACCAAACUCCGGACAUUCAAUCAACAUGAAAUACCCCGUAAACUAAACUUCAAAGAAAUUACAUCACCACAACCAACACUUCCCAUAGGCCUCAAACCAACCGUGAAUUUCAAAUUGUUGAAAGAUGAUUGAGGCAGAGAUAGAGAGAACGGUUGGGUUGGGGUUUGGGUUAGUUUUUUAUUUUUAAUUUUAUAUCAAUUGACUUGAUUUCCUGUAAGUUUUUAUAAAAUAUUUAUUUAUAAUAAAAGACAUUCUAGUAAUCAUACAAAUUUUCAUUCCGAUCAAGUGAAUUAGUAAACAACUUACAUUCAAACAAGACCAUUUAUACUCUGAUUCCAGAUUUAAUGGAAAUCUGGAUUUCAAUUCUCCUCAAUUCAAUUCAAUUCCCCCUCAAUCCAAUUCUGUCUAUUUUGAUUAAGGAUUAAUAAACGAACCCUUAAUGUUGAACAAAAGUCAGUACUUUACAUUAAGCUAGAACUAAAAAGGCUACUCCUAGUAGAAGUGACAGAAUUAUUGUUGAGUACGUAGCAAAAUUAUUAAGCAUUUGAGCUAGAACUGUUCGUACAUUUUUUAUCUGGCCUGGUCGAGCAGUGGUACAGCUACAGAGUACUAAUUUAUAUGCCUAACGUUAUAAAACUACAAUAAUAUUUCUCAAUUAUUUUAUAAUUUAAUUUGUUGACACUUCUCAACUGAAUUAUGAAAGCACCGCCGCGAGCCCAGGGACAAGAUACCUCGAGUCCUGACGCAUUCAGGUAUUGUCGCAUAGAUAAUCAUAAGUAAAGUUCCACCAGAGAGAACCAAAUUUGACGAGUUCAGCGGCUUAUACUUUUAUGGGUAUUUGUAGUAUGAUUUUCUUAGAUUUAUUAUUUACAUUAAACGUAUUCGUUUAAAUUUUUUAGAUUAGUGACCGAUUAAAUAUUCAAAUUUCAACUCAAAUCAGAGAUAUAUGAGAACGAACAACUUUUUCUCAAACACCAUUUUUUGUUCUUUGGGAACCAAAAUACAUGGAAAAGUAAAGAUAGGAGCAGCUUCAUCGAUCAAAAUUAUCGAGCACAAACACACACACCAAUACCAUCGAACUACCCGGAAACCAGAACCAGAACAGACCAUGACCCUAAAACACAACCAGAAAACGUUAACACUAAC
rnacentral:lncRNA from 1 species